rnacentral:lncRNA from 1 species
UUGACCUUGUAGACCCAUUUGCAGCCUAUAGGUCUCUUGUGUGGAGGCAAAGGAACCAAGCUCCAUGUGCCAUUGCUUUGAAGGGCAGCAACUUCAGCACGCAUGGCGGCUUGCCAUUCCGGAAUGCGAACUGCCUGUGAGAAGGAAACAGGUUCUUUGUGUAUGGAAAGGUUAGCUAUAAAAACUCUAUGUGAAGGUGAAAGACGAUGGUAAGAGAUGACAUUAGCAAGAGAGUGAGGGGUACCUGACGGCGGUGAAGACGACGGGAGGGACCGAGAGGGUAGUGCUGCAUCAACAUGAAAAUCUUGCAAGAAUGUGGGCACCUGAGUGGGUCGAGAUGACCGACGAGGUUGAGGAGCAGGAUGGGAAGGUGGUGAACUAGGAGUUGGAGUCUCAGGUAGUGGGGUGGUGUCUGGUUGUGGUUGUGACACAGUAGGGUGCACAACAUUUUGAUCAAGUGUGGGUGCAGGCAGCGGAAGAUUGGUAUGUGGUGGUGGUGUUGGACCCGAAGAAGUAACCCAAGGUUGAUCAUCAUCAAAAACUCUAGGCAGUGGUUCAGUAGAAACCCAAGACGAAGGAGGAUACUGUGUUUGGCCCGUAAUCCUAGUUUGACCUGGAUUUGAAGCUGAAGAAGAAGACUGUGUUUCGAAAGGAAAGACCGUUUCAUGGAAUGUGACAUCCCGUGAGAUGAAAACAGACUCUGUCUCUAAAUCAUAAACCCGAUAUCCCUUUUGCCCAUUCGGAUAGCCAAGGAAAAUACACUUGGUGGUUCUAGGGUCGAACUUGGUGGGUUUGUGAGGAUGUGUAGAGGGAAAACACAAACAACCAAACACUUUGAGAUGAGUGUAGGUAGGAGGUUUGUUGAACAAUUUUUCAAAGGAGCUGUGUCCAGAGAGUAGAGGUGUUGGUGUGCGGUUUAUGAGAUAAGCAGAAGUGAAAUGGCAUCACCCCAAAAGGAUUUUGGUAGACUUGCUUGGAAAAGAAGUGCACGAGCUACAUUGAGUAGAUGACGAUGCUUGCGUUCAACAACACUAUUUUGUUGUGGUGUGUUGACUCAACUUGUUUGAUGCACAAUACCUUUGGAAGAGUAAAAACCAUCCAUUUUGAACUCUAAACCGUUAUCACUACGAACUAUUUUGACCUUCUUUUCAAACUGAGUUUCAGCAAGUUGAAUGAAAUCAAUAAGAAGUUUUCGAGCUUCAGAUUUUUGCACCAUUAAGUAAACCCAAGUACACCUAGUGAAAUCAUCGACAAUGGUAAGAAAAUAUUUAGCUCCAGAAAUUGAAGGCUCAUGGUAUCCUCCCCAAAUGUCAACAUGGACUAAAGAAAACGGUGACUUACUUGAAAUUGUACUUAACGGAAAAGAAUUUCUUGUUUGUUUGGCUAAAGGACAAACUGGACACUUGCUUGCAUCGCAAGACUUAUUUGACAUGAAAGGAAAUAAAGAAGAGACUCGACUCGAAGGAUGANNNNNNNNNNNNNNNNNNNNGGGGUUUGUUGAGACAGUAUAGUCCUUCCCUCUCAUGGCCCAUCCCAAUCGUCUUCCCCGAUCGUAGGUCCUGUAUGAAACAAACUUGUUUGAGAAAUAUUGUGAUACAAAAAGAAUCAUGAGCAAGUUUGCUAACAAAUAUAAGAUUAAGGUAAAACAUUGGGACACAUAGAACGUUUUGUAGUUUGAACUGAGGAGAGAAAAUCAUCGUGCCUAUGUGAGUGACCCUAGCAUGACUACCAUCAGGAAGUUUGACAAAACGUUUUUGGGUAGGAACUGCAUGGGUGAGCAAGUGAGGAUGACAAACCAUAUGAUCGGUGGCACCACUAUCCAAGAUCCAUACACUGGUCUUUGUAUCAUUACGAAAGCCAAAAGCUUUACCUGAGAGUUCCUCAUAAGAUGAGGUAUUACCAGCAUGAUUUGCUGAUGCAGUGCGGUUUUUGUUGAGGAGCUCGAAGAUUUCAUUGCACUCGGCCUUGGAGAAAGGGAAGCUGCGUGGGCUGCCUUCCUUGUCAAACAGUGAGGACACAUUGUUUCCUCUAGCUUGUGCUUGUAUGCCUUCCAAAGCUGCCUUUCUCUUUCUACAAUCUUCAAUCACAUGACCUUUGAAGCCACAGAAAGUGCACUUAAGGUGUGCUUUGCAGUUCUUAGUGGAGUGAUUAUCUUUGUUGCAUUUGGCACACUUCUUCCUCCCUUCAGAGUUUUCUUCCUGUGCCGCAUUACGCACCGCGAAGGCAGCGCCCUCAGGCUGAGCAGGGGAUCCUUUGCUGCCAGUCAUGGCUUCUGCUUGUUUUUCAUGGCGGAGUGCUAUGGCAAACGCUUUGUUCACGGUCGGAAGAGGGUCAAUAGCCACGAUGCUUCCACGAAUGACUGAAAAGCUAUCAUUCAAACCCAUUAGGAACUGCAUUGUCUUCUGGGUGUUGAUGUAGUUUUGAACUUUGACACCUUCUGUGGACAAGUCACACAGGGCAUCCCUUUCAUCCCAAAGACCCUUCAACCUGUUGUAGAAGGUUGUGACAGUCUCGUUGCCCUGUUUACAUUCAUGAAUUGCAUUUUCAACAUUGAAUAAUUGCACAGUAUUGGUUUGAGAGAACCUCUCUUGGAGCUCAAGCCAAAUGGCUCGAGCCGACUUGUAGUGUUUGACACUAUUUGAGAGCUCCUUUGUCAUGGAACCGGUGAGCCAGGUUCUAACCAGCGUGUCCACACGAUCCCAUUGCAUCUGCUCAUUGUUCUCUUCAGCUGGUCUGGAACUACUUCCAUUCACGAGUCCAGCCCUGUUCUUGAUUGUCAAGGCGUUUGUCAUGGAUUGGCUCCAUUCCGAGUAGUUAUCUUCAGCAAGUAACCCAGGUACGAGUAUUGCGCCUGGUUGGUCAGAGUAGUGAAGAUAUAGUUGAUGGUUGGGAUGUUCCCAAGGUUCUGCUGUGCGAGAAAGGCUGGACGUCGAAGCUUCUUUGAGGAUGGCAUCCUUCAGAAACUGUAUGGCCAGCUUGUGUUCCUUCUCGGUGUCAUCGCUCAUGUUGAACGAGGCUAGGAUUUAGCAGACUUUGUGUUUGUGAGAUUUAGGCCAAGGAUCAAUGCUCUGAUACCAUAAACAAACUUGUACAGAGAAGAAGCUAUCGUUCUCAUUACUGUAUUUGAUAUACAUUGGUAUUUAUACAUACAGAACCCUCGUAGGGUUUGUCAACUCUAGCUGUACCAGGAAAGUAACUAAUUACAAUCAAUCUAGGAUUCUAUUACUAAAGAUAGUAUCAACUAAUUUAUGCUAUGAGAUACAAUCGGAUCCUUUGCUUUAAUAAUGUUGGACAAUUAUUGGUAUAACAAUCUGAUAAACUUGCUCAGUGUAUUGUAACCUUUUAGUGUAUAGUGUUCAAAUUUGGGUGGGAAUGGUUCAUAUUCUGCAUUUGCAGUGUGCUAAAUUUAGAGAGUUUCAAAGAUAGGCAUGCAGCAUUUGUGGAAAGAAGAUACGGGUAGCUCGCUUCCUUUAAAAAGAAGAUGUACAGCAUGAGGAAUCCAAGGAGAUGAAAAUGAGUUCAGCAACACCGCUUGAAUGCUUGAUUAGUACUCGUUAACAGAAGUUAAAGCGGACUGAUACAAGUUACUCACAAAGAAGAAGCUUUUACAACUGCAAGAACAGAGUCAAUCUCAAAGCAACUUAGGAAAAUAGUCUAUUCAAAACCAAAGUCAUCCUAGACAAAAUCAACCCUGCAAGCCUCUGAAACUCUUGGAACCUUUCGAAGCUUUUUGUACAAGGUCUGCUUUUUUGCACGCAAAGGAUCUGAAGAGAUUGUCAUCUUCUUCAGAACUUCAGAGUUCCUCAAGAAAUACUUCGCCACUUCCAUUGUGUCCUGUUGUCCCUUGAAUCCCUCAAUGGAGACAGUCUCAAGGUUUGACAUUAAGCAACUAGGCACAAGCUCCGGUGCAUGCCAUCGCGGCUUUGGUCCUUCAGGUAUUGAGUCUGAUUCUGGCUCAGAAUAUUUUCCUUUGCAGCUAGUAGCCUGAGCAAAGUUCAAAAGAAUCAGUGGAAACAAUAAAAACUGAAUGUUAGUCACAUAUCACAAUAGAAAGUUAGAAACACCACUUACACUAUGUUCCAAGACAAGACACUGCAGAAGAGGUGAUCUGUUAAGAAACUCCGUCAGCAACUCCCAGGAAAAGCAUUUGUGAAUUACCAGCUUCAAUUCGAUUGAAUUGUCAAAAGCAGGUAGAGAAUCGACCUUCAUGAAAACAUAAAGUACUGAUCAAACACAACCUUGUGUGUUUGUGUGCAGCAUAUUGGUACUCAAAUUUAAAUCUUUCACACACUAUGUAUAUUUUAUGCACAAGAAAAAUAAUUAGAAUGACAAUAAGGAUUUCUAAGAAGGAAGUAUAGAGCUUACAUACAUUGAAACAAUGAGCUGAUAAAAUCAAAAAUCUGACACUGGAUACCCCUGCCACAACUGAAGUAACCUGAGAAAAGCGAGGAUCUAAAUCAACACAAUGAAGUAGCUCAAUACUGGCUUUGAGUAGGGAUUCUGCUUUCCCCAAGUGAUACUUUUGUGAAUAGUUCCCCAUCAGAGUAAGGUUUUCAAGCUUUGGGCAGUUAAUCAAAUAGUUGUACCGACCAUUACUAUCAUCAUCGGAACAUAUUCUGAGUGUCUUCACUGUAGGGGAAGCAACUUCUAAAGAAGAAUUAGUACUAAAAUGACGGUCACCGUCUAUAGUCAGGUCUUCAAGCUAUGUUGCACGGAUACGUCCAGAUGCUGCCGUGCCCGUAUCGUACCCGUGUCGGAUACGGGUACGGGCCGGAUACGUAUCCAAGGCUGAAAAAACGUAUCCAAAGUAUGUAGCACAUAGUCAACUCUGUGGAUACGGUCAGAAUACUUUUGGAUACGUUUUGGGGGUAUAAUUGUCAUUGUAAAUUGAAGCAUAAGGAAGAAGAAUAAAGAAAGGAAGGAGAAGAAGAAAAGAAAGAAAGAGGAGAGAGGGAAAGGGGCNCAGGAGNGAGAAAGAGGAGAAGAAAAAGAAGAAGGGAAAGUGAGAAGUAAAAAACAAAAAGUGAGAAAAAAAAAAAGAACAUGAUUAUGUCGGAGGUGGAGAAUUAUAAAACGGGAGAACGAUAUAUAUGUAUAUAUAUAUUAAAAAUUAUUUUAUAAAACGUAUCCAAAACCACUACAUAGUUAAAAAUGUCGUGUCCCGUGUCCUGUUGUACCCGUAUCCGUGUCCCGUGCCCGUACUUGUGCAACAUAGUCUUCAAGUACCGGGCAGCUAGAGAAGAGCUUAGCCAUUGUGUCAGUACAGCUCUGAUAAAUAAUUGUAACAUGGAGGAAUUUAAGACUAGGGAAACAGCCUGAUGCUGGAAGUAGAGCAGCAAAGUUCGAUCUCAGCUUCAAAAUCACUAGUGUUUUGUACAUGAAGAUGCUUUCGGACAACUCAAAAGUACGGCAACCAAGUCUACUAAAAACAAGAAGAUCAAGUUCAACAACUUUACGUUUCAUGGCAGCAUGGAUCCAACUAUUGAUAGAAUACUGAUCAAUGCCAUGAUAAUUCCAACUAAGACGAAAUUUGUGAAUGUUUGAUGUGUUACGUAGGAAAUGUACAUAAUCAGCAACCAUCUUCAGUUUAGUAGAUUUACGAAAAGCACUAUGGUCGAAGUCCAAAACAGGAACAGGAAUAUGUUCUUCCAUCUUUUAGAGAGAACACAGGUCCUCACAGCAUAUAUUGUUUGAAGGGAAGUAAGUAUGUGACAAAGAAGUCCAUCCGGUAACUCACUAAUCCUAUCUGAAACUCCAUUUUGACGCUUUGUCAUCGGUUCCAUUUCUCCCUGAUUCUAUAUGACACGGUCAAAUUGUAAGAAACUCUGAUACAGAACCCACAUUUUAAAAAUGCAGUUUCUGAACAUUAAAAAUUUCUCACUUUUAGAGGAAACAAUAGCAGAGUUUACAUACAUAUAUCAACAAAACAAAAAUAACACGUAUAUUUUCCUAGUUGAGGAUCGAAAGGAAGAAUAAUACCUGUGAAGAGCUUCUCUGCUCGAUCGGUUGCUGAAGAAGCAGAAGAGAUUGCUUUUGCAGUGUAACGUACGCUCCCCUAUAUAUACAAAUGCGUCUAUUGAAUAUUCCCGAAAAAAAUAAAAAAUGCGACCUUUGAGUUGAUUUUAGUUGUUCAAGGAGUCAGUCAUUUGAAUUUUGAAAGGUUAAAUUGGCACUUAAAUCCUUAAUUAGUAAGGAAUAAAUGUUCAUAAUUAAUGAAUCCUAGCAAACCAACCAGAGAGCUAAAUGAUUACGUAUGCAACCAAAACUAUUCAAAUUCAGAGGUGUUGCUGUCUAUUUCGACGGCAAACAGGCUACGAUGUGGCAGCCUUGAUGUCUAACCAAGAUGAAAGGCCGGCUAGAUUUUGAGAAUUUUUGAACAAGUUCAUUGUCCUAGUUCAGAAAAUUAUUUUUGUUGGAUAAUGUAGGGAAGCAAAUUUGCUCCCCACCCUUACUUCCCCAUUUUUUUCCUCAUUUAUCUGGAUGAUGUGGAUGAUGUGGGGAAGCAAAUUUGCUCCCCACCCUUACUUCUCCACUUUUUCUCUCACUUAUCUGGACGAAUGACACAUGUCUAUUGGACUUAACCACGCUAAUCAUGAUUAACAAUCAUUAAUUUAUAAUAAUUAAUUAUAUUCAUAUCUGAUUUUACAUUUAUAUUNNNNNNNNNNNNNNNNNNNNUCUCUCUCUCUCUCUCUCUCUCUCUCUCUCUCUCUCUCUGCCCCAACCCCAAAUCCUUUGUGAACUUAUGCGGAAGGAUUAAAGCCCGACCUCGACCUAGAAAAAACGCCAAUUCGUCAAAAAUGGGAUCAAAUUGGGGAAGGAUUAUGGGAUUCCGGUUCUGGGUUUUAAGGAUCACUAUCGGGGAUGCAUAACUCACCAUUCGCCGGAGACGGAAAUUAAAGGAAAGAAAAUUGGAGCUUAGGGGAUCAAUGGGGUUGUCUUGCAAUGAGUCUGGUUUAAUUAUGGAGAAGAGGGUAGAGGAGAGAGAUUGAUGGGUUUAUAACCCAAAGCAGACCUCUUAUAUAUGUUAGGCUUCGAUUUUGAAGCAGAGUUUGAGGUCGGUGAGCUUCCUCUAAAGUUCACACUUCACAGCCCAUCAGCAAGAGCUCGUCUAACUUCCCCACAGUUGCAUGCUUGUUCCGUGGAAUCCCUGCUAGCCAUGCUCAUCCAAAACCAGAAAAUCUUCAAAGAGGUGCAGAGAGAUAUGGAGGAGGAGUAAAAUGGGAUUAAAGUAAUUCAGAUAACAAUAUAAUCAAUUAUUAUAAAUUUAUGUAUGUUAACUAUGGUUUGAAUGGUUAAGCCCAAUUUAGGUGGGUGUGGAAGUAAAGAUGGGGAGCAAAUUUCUUCCAUUCAACUGGUCCAAAUUCACUAGAAAAUGAAUAGUUACCAAAGCAGACGAAUUCAGUACUCGGUACACCUCCUUGAUCUAAUAGUACUUGUACACAGAAGUAAAAGAGGAUUUAUUAGAAAUUUAAAUCAAACAAUUGUGCAACGUACAUGCAAGUUUUAAUCAGAGUCAAACACUAUGUUAAACAAAAACAAGAUUAAUUUGAUUGAUAAAUAAGAGGUAUGCCGGGUACUGGCUGCUGAAAACCUAGAGAGAGAAGCAGAAUUUGAUUGGGUGAGGAUAUGCGCCUUGGUAUUAUAGAAUAUACAGUAGAUCACGACUUUGUUUGGGUUUUGGGCUUCUCAAAGUUUACUACACUGUCACAGUGUUGGUCUGGUUCAGUUUGGCUCCUCGAGAAAAGGUUUUUUCCUUCCGGGACCAAGAAAACUUAACAACUGAAAAACUGUUAACCAGUGUCAUUGUGCUUUUGUCUAGUAGUCUUCUAUCUUGUUAUCAUUGUGCUUCAUUGAUUGUAUUUGAUACGAAUCUGGGCUCGACAGUAUUUUCCUAGCGAGCCAAGGAAACGUGUUAAUUGCUUUUAAUUAUCUUGUCUUAAUUAAGAGUUAAGUUGUCUUAAGUUAAUUAAUCAGAAUGCUAGGGUUUUGUUGGACGCCAAUGGAUGCUGGCCACGUGUCACCAUCUGACCUCUUCUCUUGUAGCUAUUUCAAGGCGCUCUAGGGUUCAUGAGCAGCCAUCUAUGAAAAAUCAGUUUAUUUCUUUCCUUUUCUAGCUUAGUGUUUCUCUCUACGCUCUCUGAAUCAGUUGGUAGGGUUAAGCCCCUAUCAGGUGGUAUCAGAGCCCUCGAUCUGAGGGCUAUGUCGAAGAAUAAAACCAACGAUGGUUCAGCGAAAAUCGUCGAGCUCUCACCGGAGGAGUACGACGUGCAGGCACUUCGGGCCGAGACCACCGCGCAGAUCUCAGCGCUGAGUGACUCCUUGGUACAACAUCGGGAGGACUCAGCUCUGCUGCGAGCUGACUCGGCGUCGCUGCGCGCAGAUGUGAGCCAGAUCUCAGCUCAACCCCGACUGCUACUGGACAAGCUUGAGCCAGCUGAGCCUCACACCAUGCGCUUUGGUAUACUUCCUUUCCCAGCUGAGUCACCGACGCAGAGGGCUCGCGGAUCCACGCCUUCAACCACCGAUGGCUUGUCCAUGUCGAUGUUUGUGGGGCACUCAGCCAGUAGCAUGACUAAUAAGCCUUAUCAGUCGCCAGAUCUGAGAGACGAGCAGGUCUUGCUGGAUUUGUGAACGAGAACGAGACGAGGCCAGCUAGCGUGCCUCAGCCGUCACUUUCGGCUGCAACUAGAGGUGGACUGGGCCUCAAUAGUCACGAGCAAGGUGAAACAAGCAGGUUUGGGAUCCCACAACUGGGAAGCAGCAGGUGACUCAGUAUUUUCAGCAUAUUGAUGGUGUCAACCAUGUGAACACUUCAGGUGCUUAUUCCCACCGAAGCCAAUCUCCACCAUCUUUUGCACAACACUACUCUCAGCCACAUACCUACCAUAAUGAGUCACUGCCGAACAGUGCAUUUAUGGUCCCCCACCUUUGCCUUCCCAGAAUUUGAAUUUUGGUCGUACUAGUUCAUCUUCACAGCCACACAUAGCCCACACCUCCCUCCCUAACAACACUCAGCAACACCAAAACACUCAAACCUUCGACAACACUCGCCAGCAACAUGGUUAUACAGCCCCAAACCCUAAUUUUGGUUACCAAAAUUUUCAGCCUGACACUGCUUUACCCUCCAUGCGCCAGAUGAAGCUAGAACUGGCUUCCUUUGGAGGAGGAGACCCCAUUGAAUGGCUUCACAAGUUGGAGCAGUUCUACGAGUUUUACCAAGUACCAGAAGAUCGGAAGCUGGCUAUUGCAGUCAUGCACUUGGUGGACAAGGCAGCAGAUAGGUGGUUCAUGUUCAAACAUGAAUUUCCUUAAACGUGGAGAGGUUUAUCAGAGCUGUUGAUGAGAGAGUUUAGUGCACACAAUUUUGGGGAAUACCAGGCCGCAUUGGCUAAAAUCUCUCAAGUUGGUUCUAUCGAUGUGUAUAUGGACCAGUUCACAAAGCUCUCACGGGGUGCUCCUGGAUUCUCUUCUUUAGCACUGCUUUCAUUCUUUUUGGGGGGUUUGAAGGAGCCAAUUCGAACAAAUGUGAGGGCGCACAAGCCAAUGACAUUGUAUGCUGCUUGUAAAUUAGCUAAGCUGUUUGAGGGCGACGUUAAGAGCACACACAGGCCAAAUUACCAAACCACGGGCCGCGCACCCCGAGGCACCAAGGGCGCCACCACAGGCAACCUAGCGCGCACCGCUGGCCCCUAACGUGGUACCAGCUUCUGUAGGCGCUAGGAAUUUUGGAGGCAACCGAAGACUCUUCCAAGCUAAAUACCAGGAGAGGCGUGCGCGCAACCAGUGUUUUUUUAUGAUGAGUUGUUUAGGCCAGGACACAAUUGUCGUCGAGGUCAAGCUGUGAAUGUCAUUGAAGUCAUUCAAGACGAGGGGGGACCACAAGAGGAACCAGUUGCUGAGGAAGAAACUGUGAACAAUGUGGAAGUAAACAAUGUUGUGGUAGAGGAAGAAGUGGAGCUGCGUGCUAUGGGAGAUGGGACAUUUUCUACUAUGCAGCUAAAGGGCAAGAUUUUGAAUAGGGAAGUUCAUGUUCUUAUUGACUCUGGAGCUACAAACAACUUUGUGCAUCCAGCUGUUCUUAAGACGACUAAGCACCAGGUCAUGGGGAUCAAGCCAGUGCGCGUGCGCAUGGCUAGUGGAGAGAUUAUGUAAACCAAAGGGCAGGUAACUCUAGAGCUCGCAAUGCAGCAGUUAACUAUCACUACUGAUUUUUAUGUCUUGCUGGUUUCAGGUUGUGAGGUAGUGUUGGGAGACAGUUGGUUACAAACUCUUGGGGACAUUGUUUGGAACUUUGAAACUAAGAAGAUGAGGUUCCAAGUUGAAGGCAGUAUUGUUUACUUGCAAGUGAUAAUGUCCCCAAGGCUUCAGUGGUGAAUUGUAAGAGCAUGACUCGGUUACUAAGGAAGGAGAAGGAAGCUGUGUUGGUCAAGCUCCAACCUAUUCACUCACUUGACAUGAAGCAAACUGUCCACCCUGCUAUUUAGCAACUCCUGCUCGAGUUCGAAGAUGUCUUUAUAGACCCUCAGUCUCUGCCUCCUUCUCAAGCUCAUGACCAUAAAAUUGAGCUGCUCCCUAACACACCCCCAGUCAGUGUGCGCCCCUAUCGCUACCCUCAUUUUCAGAAGGCCGAGAUAGAAAAAAUAGUCCAGGAAAUGUUGGCUAGUGUUUUGGGCCAAGCAUUAGCUCUUACUCUUCACCAGUCCUUUUGGUCAAGAAGAAAGAUGGCACAUGGCGCCUAUGCAUUGACUACAGAGCUCUCAACACAGUCACAAUUAAAGAUAAGUAUCCCAUACCUGUUGUUGAUGAAUUGAUUGAUGAAGUUCAUGGCUCAACGAUCUUUACUAAGUUGGAUCUACACGCUGGUUAUCAUCAGAUCCGGAUGGCCGAGAAGGACAUCCCUAAAACUGCUUUUCGAACUCAUACAGGACACUAUGAGUUCCUUGUGAUGCCUUUUGGCCUCACAAAUGCGCCAUCCACAUUUCAGGCUCUCAUGAAUGAUGUACUUCGCCGCUAUUUGAGGUGAUUUGUGUUGGUGUUCUUUGACGAUAUCCUCAUCUACAGUUCUUCACUGGAGGUACAUUUGCAGCAUUUGCAAAUGGUACUUAGAACCCUUAGAAGUAAUUCUUUGAUGGUUAAAGAUAGUAAAUGAAGCUUUGGCACACCUCAAGUGGAGUACUUGGGGCAUGUCAUUAGCAAAGAUGGAGUUAGUGUGGAUCCCUCAAAGAUUGAGUGUGUUCAGCAGUGGCCAAUUCCAAAGACCCUGAAGGAGUUAAGGGGUUUCCUAGGGCUGGCAGGAUACUACCGUAAUUAUGUGAAAGGCUUUGGGAUGAUUGCUAAGCCAUUAACAGUACUGCUGAAGAAAGAAGGGUUCAAAUGGAGUGAGGCAGCCUCAAUUGCCUUUAGGAACUUAAACAAGCUCUAACUACUACACCUGUCUUGGCAUUUCUUGAUUUCAGCAAGCCCUUCACAGUGGAAUGUGAUGCCUCGGAUUUGGGAAUUGGAGCUGUGCUUUCACAGGAAGGUCACCCCAUUGCCUUCUUGAGUAAGGCACUCUUUCAGCGGCAUCUGGCCCUUUCAAUGUAUGAUAAGGAGAUGCUAGCUGUAGUCACAGCUGUGCAACAAUGGCGGCCAUACCUCUUGGGCCAUCACUUCCCCAUCUACACAGACCACAAGACCAUCGAACAUUUCUUGAACCAAAGAGUAACCACACCAGCACAAUAGAAGUGGCUGCUCAAGUUGCUUGGAUAUGAUUACACUAUCAAGUACAGGGAAGGGAAGAAUAAUGCUGGCCCUGAUGCACUCUCUAGGUCAGUAGCUUUGCAAACCAUCACAGGUGCAUCCACACCAAUCUAUGAUUGUGUGCAAGAAAUACACCAAGCUUGUGUCACUGAUGCAAAAAUGAUGGAAAUCAUUCAGCAACUGCAAGCCAACCCUAAUUCCCACAAAAAUUUCUCAUUAUACAAUUCCCAACUCAUGUAUAGAGAGAAGGUGUUUGUACCAGCAAUUGAUGGGUGGCGGCAGCGCAUCAUUCAGGAGUUCCACAAUGGCAUGAUUGGGGGGGCAUGCAGGCCACUCAAGAACCUACAAGAGAAUUUGUAAGAACUUUGCUUGGUCAAGCUUGCAGCUAGAUGUGAAAGAUUUUGCGGCCACAUGCCAUACAUGCCAGUUGAACCACUAUGAAACUAUCAAGCCACCAGGGUUACAGCAGCCCCUCCCCAUCCCUUCCAGAGCUUGGAGUACUAUCACAAUGGACUUCAUCGAGGCUUUGCCUAAGUCACAUGGCAAAACAGUCAUUUGGGUUGUUGUCGACAAACUCACCAAGGUGGCACACUUUAUCCCACUUUCACAUCCCUACAUUGCUGCCUCUCUUGCUGCUGUCUUUGUUUCUGAGAUCUUUAGGUUGCAUGGCAUGCCAGAAGUCAUCAUCUCUGACAGAGACCCCAUAUUCAUGAGUUUAUUUUGGGAAGAAUUUUUCAAGCUCCAAGACACUACACUCAGCAAAUCCACUACUUAUCAUCCCCAAACGGAUGACCAAACUGAAAAUUUGAAUCGUACCCUGGAGCAAUACCUUCGUUGUGUCACUGGAAGCAAGCCACAGGAGUGGGUUCGUGCUCUUCCAUGGGCUGAGUGGUGGUACAACUCAGCUCACCAUCCUGCAUUGCAAAUGACACCUUUCGAGGCACUCUAUGGAUACCCUCCACUUGCUAUCCGCCCAUACUUGCCUGGGUCUACAGUUGUAAUUGAUGUUGAUUUGCAACUGAGAAGCUAGGAUGAGCUACUAGCUUUGGUUAAGAGGAAUUUGGCACAAGCACAGGCUCAGAUGAAGCAGCAGCAUGACAAGAAUCAUACUGAGAGAGUGUUUGCUGUGGGGGAUUGUGUGUACCUCAAACUCCAGUAGUACAAGCAAAAUUCAGUCAGUGCAGCAGCUUUCCAUAAGUUGGCCUCGAAGUUUUAUGGACCAUUCCAGGUCAUUGAAAGAAUUGGGGAGGUGGCCUAUCGGUUGCAGCUACCAGCCACAGCUAAAAUACAUGAUGUGUUUCAUGUGUCCCUAUUGAAGAAAAGGCUGGGAAGUUCAACAGAUGUGGUAGCCACUGUACCAAACAUCAGUGACCCUUCUGGUCAAAAGUGGGUUCCUGAAGCUGUCAUUGAGAGGAGAAUGGUCAAGAAACAGAGUGCAGCAGCUACUCAGGCUUUGUUUAUGUUCAUCUUCUGCAGAAGUAUUUCAACUUAUAAUAAUUUGAAAUGCAUGUUUCACUAGACAAUGCUCAUAAUUUUGUUAGUAUCUAACCCAAGAAAAGGGAAGUCAUCAGAGUAGUUAGACGUACAGAAAAAACAUUGACGAUCCAUGAUGUGUGUUGCUGUCCUUUUUUUUUUUUGAAAUAAAGGGCUAUGGUGCGGCCGCCCUUAAGCCUCUAUUAAUGAAACUGCCGAUACAAGGGGGGACAUAAAACCUGAACCCCUGAUUACAAAGACCUAAAAUAAUAUCAAGAAACUUCACAACACACUUGCACACAACAAUGCACCGACUAGCAAAGAGUACAACACAAAUGGCUACUCUAUUUGCUUUCAGACAGCGGUGACAAGCUGGAAAGAUCAGUUGAUAUGCAACACGUUUGCACGUCCUAAUGUCUAAUAAUGCAGCUUUCCAACUAUGUUGCCGCCGAACAAAAUAUCCGACGACACUAAGUUUCAUCCUGCAGCUAGCCGGCAACGACCAUUUGACAGUGCAAGGAUCUCGUUCCCGACCUAGAGCAGACAAGGCACUCUAGGUGCACACAUGGACGCGUAGCCCGACUCAUCUUGCACAACUAGCGUGAGAGCUUAUUGCUCGCAAAAAGCGCAAACAAAGUAAAUAACAUAAGCAAACAUAGUAAAUAACAUACAUUUAGUGACAUACAAAUCGGGAUGAUGUUGCUUCACUCUUUUUUCUUUUUCUUUUUCUUUUUUUGUAAACAAAUCAUAACUUUAGACACUUUGCCUUCCAAGCAGCAACCCAGCAAAAGUCAUGGGUCAAAGUUUUUAGAGAAUAUAUUCAUAAUUGUUUUCCCGAAUCGUGUGAUCAUUAUAUUCACUAUCACUAUCCAGUCUAUCCUCUUCAAGUCUUGAGAGUCAUAUAUAUACAGCAGAUAUAUCCAUCUGCAUGUAUUUUCGUGGUUAUUGUAGAGGGCAAUCAUGUUUUGAGGAAUUGACUCAUGAAAUUUUCUAAUGUAACAGACUGAUGCAUGUUUUUUGAAAUCAAUUUAGUAAAUGUAAAUGGGAGCAAAUGAUGACUGUGAAUAUCCAAGCCAGCAUGAGGGAGAGGUCAAGGAAUCACCGAAUCAGGAUCCCUGGGAGGCCGGGACCCGAAAAGGACAAGAACAUAGACCAUUAAUCUUCUUUCUGGUAAGUAAAAUAUGGAGAAGCUAGACGAAGAAGAAGAAGACUUGGUGAGAGUGAGACUACCAUUAUUUAUAUGCCAUUACCUUAGGUUAUAUAGUACAUGCAUCCCUUAUACCGUAUGAGUUGUUUUUUUUUUAUUAGCUGCAAAACUUUGCAGAGAUGUAGUGCAAAGAUUUGGUUUUCGUAACAUAUAAGGGUCUAGGACAGUAGAGGAUUGGACCUGGAGCUAGGACAGCAGAAGAUAAACCAAUGCAUCUUCAAAAACUAGCAACCACUUCAGAGCAAUAUACGUAUUUAUUGGUUUUUGGUAGAUAAUCACCUAAGUGUAUAUUUAUGACUACCUCUCGAUCAGGGCAGUUUUAGUUUGUUUCUUUGUGUUUCGAAUAAUUGUGAUCCUUGUGGGCUAUGUCCCGGCUUGCGUUCCUUGCGUGUGAUGUUUGCUCUAGAUUGGCGGUGAGUUCCUUGUUUUGUCAAAUAGUCGAUGCCUCCUAGUGGCAUGUUGAAUCUUUAUGAUUUUUUCGUUAUUUUGUUAGUUGGGUCGGUCUGAUACCGCGUUCGAGGCGUUCGAGGUGACAUCCUGAGUUUGGUUGAAUGAUUUAGGUGUUUCUUUGUUAGCUUUUUGUAUGGGGUAUAACAUCAUACCUGUUUUUUAAUAUGGCCAUGUCCGGCUGCUCCCUUUGGUUGUAUCGUAUACUCAUGGGUUUGGGAAGUAGUUGUUGGUUGCUGGUAUGGUGCUUGUUUCCAAAUCGUGGCUGGUACAUUGUAAUUGAUUGUUGUCUUGUACCUAAUUCCGCUUUAAUAAAAUGUUUACGUGUCUUCUAAAAAAAAAAAAAAAGACUACUUUAAGGCCCUAAUUGUAGAAACCAAAUUAUAUCGCAUUACGUGGACGACAUUUUCACACACGUGAACUUGCUCUACUCUAACAAAUGCACACGCUUGAGCGCGAACUUCCAUAUGCGCAGCGACGCAGGAAGGCUAGUUGUGUAUAAUGCAAGAACAAAGUUUUUCUUCACUAUCAAUUUCUUCAAUUUUUAUAUAAAGAAAAACAGAAAAAGAAAAAAAAGAAAAAAGUGUUGGGCCUCUCCAUCCAAUUUAACCCCAGUAUGGAAAUUAAAAGGCCCAGGCCUUGAACAGAAACCAGGCAUGUUAGGCAACAUGUGGAGGAUGUCGGUUCUCCCUCCGUCUAUAAAAGCCAUCGGUAGGAUUUUUUCACACAGAGGGGAACAAAACAGAGAGGCCAGAUAUAGAUCUAAUCUAGAAACCCCCAGUUUCAACCAUGACUAUGUUCUUCAGACUCUUAUCGGAUUUGGAUCUGGACGAUCCCCGACGGACGAGGAGGCCGUCAGACACCAAGAUACGAAUUGACUGGGAACGCGGUCUUGUCCCGGUUACAUGUAUGUUGUUUUCUUUUGGUUUAACUUCAGUUUAUGUGAUUUUUGUUCAUAUAUCAUAUUCUUUAAAAGAUAUUUUUGUUUUCUUUUUAUGUUGAUUGUUUCGGUUUUCGGAUGAUAAGUUUUUGGUUUUUCGGAGAGGAGCACUGCUGUUUGAUAAUCCUAUCACGAGCCAUUGUUCCCAAUCUGUACCUGAAUUUUAUGAUUUAUUUUUAUUAUUAUUAUUUUUUUCAUUUUGAUUUGAGAGGUCUUGUGUAAUUGCUUUUAUUUAUGCUAGAGUUGUGCCAGUGUAUCUGUAUUUUUAUGGGAUCAUAGCUGUGUUUUUGGUUUUCUUCUCGACAGCUGUUGAAUUUGUUGCGGCCUUAGAGAAAAAAGAAAAAAUGUUACGAGAAGUGACUUCGGAGGUGGAACCAAAACAAAGUAGCUGGUACCGGCCUGUUCUUCCUUUCAAGGGAAAAGCAAAUCCUUCUCGCACAAUGGGUGUUGAUACUAGUUACUCUCAGGCACAGCCUUCUUCUCAUUAUGCCGUUAGGUCUUGCAGCACUUGUGGUAUCACCCACUGGCGUCGACAUUGUCCCCUUGAGUGUGAUCCGGGUGCUCCAGAGACAGCACCAAAAUAAUGAUGCAGCAUCGGCAACAGUUCAUGUGGAAGGGUUAAUGGAAUGUUUUAUAUCUUUUAUGCGUGCGGACUUUGUCUAAAUGCUAUAUAUUAUAAAGGUACUGGAACGUGAAGCAGGUCGUGUCAAUCCUCGACGAACUUGACAAAAAAUUAACACAGAACACCAGAUUUUUGACUCUGUGUAAAAACCUCAAAAUAGAGGAAAAAUCACAGCGGAGCACAAGCUCAGAAAACGAACUCAACUAGAUGAAUUUGUGUAGAGUCUUACAACCUCUUUGUAAACCCUAUACUGUUACAAAUCCCUAUCUUUAGGCAGAACGUCUUCUUCUUCUUUCUUCAAUGAUAUUCUCUCAACACACAAGAGAAUCACAGUCACAUAUAAACAAGUCAAACUCAACAAGGAACAGUUGAACUUGUAUAUUUAGAUGAGCAGCGGAAUAAACACAAUUUUCUCUCAAACGUCAAACGUGCAGAGCUACAUCUUUCAUUUGUCAUACGCCUCUUUUAUACAACAGCAAAGACCUAGCGCCAGCAACCCUAAUCCCUGUCUCAAAGAGGAAUUUACAUCAGAGUUAAAGAUCUUGUAAUAAUAACAAGAUAUUUAGCUAUUUAAACCAUAAAAGAAUAUCCUAUAUGAAAUAGAAUUUCUUUCUUUCCUUCACACAGUUAGCAAAGGAGACCUAUUCAAAAUAGAUCUUCUUUCCUUUAUUUGAUUCCACAAUCAUAUCACAUAUAUAUUGAGAUCCUAACCAAGUUAGGACUCAAUUACUCCCACGGAAAUAGCACCUGCAAAUAACUCAUUCCAAUUAUAAUAUCUAACAAUAAAGUCCAAUUUGUUUUGAUAUAGGAAUGCCAACUAAAACAUAUACCAACAUAUUAUAUAUGUGAACUUUGUUAAAUCUGCCGUCACUGCAGUACUAGAUCUGUAAUGUUAUGUCAAUGGUGCUUGUAUAAAUUCCGACAUUGUAAUAUAGACCUUCCCAUGAAUCCAGUUCUUAUUGUGUUAUGAAUUGCUUGAUAAAAUCAUUACUCGAAAAGGAAGCUUGAAUGUUUAUGCUUGAUUGUUCAUGUACAUGGUCAAUUUGGAAAGUGUCGUGAAGACCAUUCCGGUGGUUUGCUUUCUGAGCUUGCAUCUGUAAGAAAGCUCUCCUCUUUUGCCUUUUGCAAGAAUAAGUCGCGCAUAAGAUCAUGGAGACGACAGGUUUUCAACCACCCAGUCAAACCAUGUUCUGUAACUUGAACCAUAGAUCUUUCCAACCAUAGAUCUUUCCACCAGUUUAAUUAGGCAACCUUAUGCUGCGAUGAACCUUGUAUCUUUGAUUUUGAAAAUAUAAAGUAUUAGGUAUAAACCCUUCCGCAAUCUAUAACUGAGUCAAUCUUUUCACUGGUAUCUCAAGAUCCUCUUCAAAUUGGGCCAAGUACAGAAAACAGAGUUUUAAGUGAGAUGGUAAGUCAUUAUAACUCAAUCCCAACAAAGCCCGUACACCGUGGUCCGGAUCCUCUUUUUUUCUUUUUCUUUUUAAAAAAAAAAGAUACAACAAGAACUUCAUUAAAGAAGGCCAAAACUAGCCCAACUUAGUACAGACAGGCCUAACUUUGUUUGUACCCCCUGUGGUCCGGAUCCUCUUGAUCUGAGGUUUCUCUUUCAAUGACAUUUCACAUUUGUGUCUCUCAUUAUGUAUUUAUUGACAUUUCUCUGUACUGCUUUCCUGUCACCACCCUAAUUUUGAGUAUUUUUUUUUUUUUUUUUUGGGUAUUAGUAUGCGAUCCUCUAGUCAGUAGAUAACUUUAUUUCUUAGUGUUGUUUUCCUUCAGUAUUUCAAAUGAGACCUUGCUGCCUGAUUUAUCUUUGCUACUCGAAAGAUUUGGUUACAAGUCAUAAUUAUUAGAUUUAAGGUAUUGUAAAUUUCGGGGACGAAAUUUUUUUUUAGAAGGGUGGAGUGUGACAACUCGGAAUUUUAUAGUAUAUACACCUAUUUACGAAUUUGCAUAUCUAUACAAAUUGUUAAUUAAACAUUAUAGUAACCCUGGAGGGCAGACAUCACUAACCAAAUCAAUAGAACGCUAAACAAAUUGUAGAGGUUUGUUGGAACUUAUCAUAUCCAUGGGUAAAUGACCAAAACUUUCUUCAAGCUUUUAACUAAAAAAUAAGGUUUGCAAUUAGGCAGAUCAAAAAUAAUAAAUGAAGCAUUAUACCUCAAUUGUCGUAGAUCAUUAACUCGGACUUGGUUCCAACUGUGGAAGCACUACCACAGUAGUAGGCAAUGACCACAUAUUAUAAUAAUCAUCUGUGGGCAAUAGAGAUGUGGUUUUAAGGGUUUAACCACAAAUGACUUUCAUAAAUGUGGUUUUUGGUGGGGUUUGAGAGGGAAAAACCACAUUCAUGUAUGACAUGUGUGGCUAUGGCUUAAAAGCCACAUCUCUACAGCCCACAUAUAAUGAAAAAAUUGCUCUCUCCCCUAAUCUCACGACGGCGCCCAGCUCCGAUUCAACCCUCCAAAAUCCCCACUCCGAUUCAACCCUCCAAAACCCUCUCCCCUCUCUAUAAUCCAAAACCCAUAACAAUGAUCUCAAAAGAAAAAAAAAAAAAAAAAAAAUUACAGAAACAAAUGAUCUACAAAAUAGAAAAAGAACCCCAAAAAAACUUCACUUGCCAUGAGUGCCAUCAAUACACAUCAUCUCUAUCUUCCCUCUCCUUCUCCCCCGCCCCCACUCCCUCCUCUUUUCACCACCUCUUCCCCUAAACCCCUAGAACAUGAGGCAUCUCCCCUUUUCCUCUCAUCUCCACGACCCACCAUCCUGAUCCUCAUAGCCCACAUCGAAACCACGUGCUUCUCCUCCUCCAACACAUUAGACCACCACGUCGUGUUCGGCAAUGAUCCGUCGGAAACAGAGGAGCGAAUCGCCAGAGCUUAUGAGAAGCUCCACGGCCGGACGUACAACGGCUUCAGCCUUCUGAGAAACGAAGUAUAUGUGAUGGAUUUAAAGGUGGGUGCAUUUAGGAAGAUGGAGAAGGAGAAGAUCAGAGAUGAGUUUGAGGAAAUCGAGAUCACUCGACUUUUUGGGUUUAUAAUUUUCUUUAAAGUUGUUAGUAUUGAUGUUUGUGUCUUUGAUGGUGUUAUUAUCGGUGUCAGUGUGUUUAAGAAACCAAAUCAAAUGAACGGCUGUAGAUUAAAUUGUUUUAUUGGUGCACUUGCACCAUGGUGUAUAGCAAAAUUUUCGUCUAUAAUUAUGGAAAAGCAAUCGUCUUCUUAUUUUAAGUUUCCUCACUUGCUUCAAUUACUCUCUCCAAGCUAGGGCAUUGAAUUAUUGGAAAGUCCUCCAAUUGUGAAAGGCACUGAGCUACAUCCCAGAUCAAGAGACUUUUCAGUUUCAUACAGCUUGUAAUUACCAAAACUUUAAGAUUGCCUAGAGACCCCGAUGGUAAUUUACCGACCCAUAUGACCUUUAGGAAAUCCACUUCGUAGAGAUUCAACUCUUCUAAACUCUCAAACACAUGUUGUUUUGGAACCCAUGUUAUUGUGUUCACCAAUGCUUCUGAAUUUUCAUGGCGCCCGGUUACAGAAAGAUACAUCAGUUCAACAAAUCUCCCAUGGUCAUAUUCCACAAUAAUGACGUUAUUCAGGCCCUUGCAUUUAGUAUACUCGAUCUAGUUUAUGUGUAUCUAGCACCACUACAUUGAUAAACCAAUCCGGUAAGCUAUUGAUUGUUGUGUCAAGAGUCAUGCUAAGAAUCUGUAGUUUCUUCAGAUUUCCGAGUACAUAUAUGCCAGUUAACUGAUUGCGGUAAUUUAAAUUCGAAGUUUCGAGGUUGUUCAUGAGACUGGAUGAUACGAGUACCAACGAAAUAUUAGUGAAGCUAAGAUCAAAGACCCUUAAAGCAUUCAGGCCCCCAAAACAAUUUGACGGCAUAUUACCUAGGUUGCACGGAAACGGGAACGAGUUUUGAAAACGGGGCGUUUCAGAAACGUAGAAACGUCAAAAUCAAAAUAUAGUCCAAUAGGAAACGUGACAGAAACGUCUAAACAAAAUAUUAUUUAUUAUAUAUAUAUAAAUAAAAAUAUAUAUAUAUAGUAGCGUUAAGGACAUUUCACUGUUCAUUCGCUUGGCUAAAUGACGAUGUUGUCCCCAACUCAGGUUUAUUUACGUUCAUGCCAUUCGGUCUAUUUACAAAGAUUGCCAUUUCGUUUUCUUCAACAAAGAUUUCAGUCCUUUUCGAGUUGCCUUGCAAGUUGCAACGACGGCGCAACGAGGGCGGCCCGGCGGAUUUUAGCGUCGGAGGGAGGGGGUCAGGUGUCGGAGUGUGAUUGGUGGACUGGGAAUAGUUUAUAUAGGGAGGUAAAUGGUUGGGAUGGGUUGGGUUGGUUUGGGUGGAGAGGAGAUAGAGGGUUUGAUUUGGGUGGAGAGGAGAGAGAGGGUUUGAUUUGGAAAUUGGGACUCCCGGUCUGUUCUUGGGAGGUUUGGAAUUUGGGCAGAAGAAGAAGAAGAGGACCGAUACGCGGAGUUAGCUGGAGAUAUCGGUCUCUGCUCUCUCUUAUUAAGCUGACAUUUUUCUGCCGAUAUUUUUCUUAUCAACUUCUUACGUUUUUUCUUACAGAUUCAUAAUCAUCAAAUCAUGUACUUUUCCCAUUUAAUAAAAAAAAAAAAAAAAGGACUACAUCACUAUUUCAUAUAACAUUAGACGGGUGUUGUUUGUUUUUUAAUUUUCUUUUAAAUAAUGAAUUCUCUGUUCUAAUUAUGUUAACAGCUUUGACAGUUCACUGAAGAUUGUUUUUUAUGAACCUUCACAAUUAAUAAUAAUAUUAUACUAUUUAUUGUAAUCAAUUCUUUUCCCGCUCUCGUCAAGUCUUUUCCAUUCCAAACUGCUUUUUCAGGAAAAUAUCUUUUUUCAAGGUCUGGUGGAGGUCUUUAUGUAACUGCUCGCUUGGAAUGCGGGCAGUCAUCAUGGAACAACGUGUCCGGCUUUAUUUCUAAGGCUCAUAUCUCGGAGUAAAUUAGUGCAUGCAAGACAUUUGUCAAGGGAAAACCUACUCCCCUUGUCUAUAAGAGGAAACUCUUGGCCGGGCCGAAGUGUCAAUUAAGUCUUUGCCCCUUGCCAUGGCUUCUUCUACCUUUCUGUUUAUCCUCUUGUCCCUGCUUAAAGCAAAAGCCCCCAUAUCUGAACUUCACCCUUCAAUCCUUUUGAGUCUGAAAAUCUACUCUCAGGCCGGGAGUAAGUCUGAAAAUCUACUCUUAGGCCAAACCUUCGUUUGGGUGGACAAAUGUUCUGGGUACCUUCUGCCUUACACUAGCUGUUCUGUCCAAACGUAAGGUCUUCAAAGCCCCGCGCCCACUCGUGCCUCAGGCCCUGGCCAGUGUCCUUAAAGCACAUUCGAGGCCUAACUGGUAGCAUGAGGGACCCUAGUCCAGUGGACCUCUAGCUUCUCAACACUUUGUCUUAGGUCCAGGCCGGUGUCUAGGCCUGUGCCGAUCUGAGGAAGCGGGACGCUUGCUAGUAUCAACCAUGGCGUGCGGCGGAGGUCUCUUCUUCGAACCUGCAAGCUGUGCGGGUUUGAGAUUUCUAAUAUUUCCAGAUCUAUGCUUUUGAGCGUAGGUGCAAUCAAAUUUCAUUUAAAGUGUUGUUUUGCUAAUGUAUUUGCUUCGGCCGCAAAGCCGCUUAUGAAACCUGUAUAUGAAAAACCAGAAAGGGAAAUAACUUUACUUAUUUUUUAGGACCUCUGGAAUAGGCCCCGAUCUUGUACUUGUCUUUGGUUAGACUUUGCACGUUUACUAAGAAUGAAGGAAAAAGAAACUAAUAAAAAGAUGUGAAUAAUUAGGGCCUCUGGAAUAGGCCCUAAUCUAGCACUGGCCUUCCCUGGCUGAUACGUUACACUAGUCUUGAAUUAAUCCUCAUUCUUCUAUCUCAAGUUGCCCCUAGUGCUAGGAGGCGGAGCGCUGACGCGAUGACUCGUAGCACUAUUAAUAGUGGUCACGGGCUCUGGAGGAGGUGGAGGAUCCUCCCACUCCCAAACCCCAGCAAUAUGGCGCUUGAGGAAACGACCAUUGAUAGGAUUGCGAUGAAUGGCGCAGUCUAGGUCGCACAUGUGAUAUGCCCCCUAGGUAGUAUGCGAUGAAUGAUAAAAGGUCCUUCCCAACGGGCUGACCACUUGCCCCUGCCUUCGGUUUUGUCGCCAAACGGUAACACAACGCGCCACACUUUCUGGCCUUCGGCAAAACUUUGGCCUCUGGUAACCUUGUCAUAGGACCGCGCGAUGCGCUACUUUUCGAGGACGAGAUUGUUGUAAGCAGUGACCCAGUGUUCAUCAAGAUCUUCAAGUUCUUGCCACAUGGCCUGAACGUAGUCUUCGCCAAGAAGUUGGUGUUGCUCUUGCACACGGAGUGACGCGAUAUUAAUCUCGAGGGGAAGGACGGCGUCGUGACCAUACAUAAGUGCAUAUGGGGUGCGGACCGCGCUUUGAAGUGCGGUAAGCCCACAAUGUGUGGAAAAGUUCUUCAUGCCAAACCCGCAGGUUUAACUCUAACAUCUUGGGCAAGAUGCCAAGGAUAACCUUAUUAUUGGCCUCGGCUUGGCCGUUGGACUGCGUAUAAUAUGGCGUAGAGUGGAGGAGCUUGACGCCGUAGUCGUUGUGGAAUUUGACCAUAAAAUCCGCCAUGAAAGCUGCCCCCCGGUCCGUAAUAAUGCACUAUGGAAUACCAAAGCGGGAAAUGAUGUUCCGAAAAAUAAAGUUGCGAACCGAGUUGGCAGAAGCAACCAUGAGCGGUUCCACCUCGACCCAUUUGGUAAAGAAAUCGGUAGCCAUUAUAAUGAACUUAUGCUGCUCAGAGGAAUGCGGGUGGAUGAUGCCGACAAAAUCGAUGACCCAUCCACGUCCUGGCCAUGGUUUAAUGAUAGGUUGCAACGGAAUGUUGGGGAUGUGUUGCACUGGUCCGUGAGCCUGGCAGUCUUGGCAACCUUUGGCAAAGGCAAUGUAAUCCUUUAAAAUGGUGGGCCAGUAGUACCCAUGAGGUGUCGGCCUGAUAUUGCCCCUAGCGAUGAAAGAGGGAAGGGUACGUCGCUCGACUUUGAGCAAACGUUCGCGCACUCCAUCGCGCAGGCUGAGGCCAGACGCUACCUGGGAGAGCUCGUUGGCGGCGAAGCUGAACUCGCGUGGUGUGUUCGAUGUAGACGUCAUCGAAAUGAUCCAAUACCUCGAAUGCCUUGCGCAAGUAUGGUUCAAUGGACGAGCUUAAACACUUGAAUUUCUCCACCAGCUGGUUGACGACCAAUAGGGAAUCGCCAAAGACCUGAACUUCGCGGACUCCUAAGUCCAACAAAAUUUCUAGUCCUAUGAUGAGCGCCUCGUACUCGGCUUGGUUGUUUGUGCAUUUAAAAUCGAGCUGGAACGAGUAGGAGAAACGGUCUCCGGGCGGUUUUCUAUGGCUAUGCCGGCGCCGGCUGCGGUAUCAGUCCGUGAGCCAUCAAAGUAUAAGGUCCACGGAGUGAGUGCCACAACGGCGAACUCCAACUCGAGAAACGUUGUUAGCUCGGAAGAUGGGUGGUGAGUGAGGAAAUCAGCUAUAGCUUGUCAUUUUACUGCCUUUUGCGGAACAUAUUGCAACGAGAAUUCGGACAAGGCUAGAAUCCACUUGCCGAUGCGUCCCCUCAAGAUAGGGCGAUAGAGCAUGUACUUGACCAAGUCGCACUGAGCGAUCACCACAGUAGUAAAGGCGAGCAUGUAGUGGCGCAGCUUACAAUCUGCAAAAAACAAAACGAGACACAACUUUUCCAUAGGGGAAUAUCGCGUCUUGUAGUAAGUUAAAACUCUGCUAAGGUAAUAAACAGCGUGUUCCACCCCGUUUUCAUCAUCUUGUGCCAAGAGCCCGCCGAUGGACAAGUCGGCAGCGGCGAUGUAGAGUUUAAGCGGAAUUCCUUCAUGAGGUGGAAUCAAGACAGGCGGGGUCGCCAGGUAGUCCUUGAUGCGAUCGAAGGCCUGUUGAUGUUGUGGUUCCCAUACGAACUCGGUUGCCCCAUGGAGCCUGAGUAAGGGCGAAAAAGGUUGGACCUUCCCCGCCGCAUUGGAUAUGAAGCGACGGAGAAAGUUGAUCCGCCCGAGCAACUGUUGAAGCUCAUUUUUGGUCGUGGGGGGCGAGGCGUUUAUCACCGCCUGCGCCUUGUCUUUGGGGAUUUCGAUGCCCCGUUGAUGUACUAGAAAACCAAAGAAGUCGUCGGCUUCUGCGAAGAACACACACUUGGCGGGGUUCAUCUUCAGGUUGUGUAAGCGCAUCCGUGUAAAGACAUGUCGCAGGUCUGCAACGUGGGUUGCCGGUGUCUUGGUUUUGACUACCACAUUGUCGAUGUAGACUUCGAUCAGCUUUCCCAAGAUGUCAUGCAAAAUGAGGUUCAUGGCGCGUUGGUAUGUUGCCCCCGCGUUUUUAAGUCCGAAAGGCAUGACAACAUACUAGAACACGCCAGCAAAUCCGGGGCAGCGGAAGGCCGUCUUAUGUCGAUCAUCUUCAACGACGGGAAUUUGGUGGUAUUCGGCUGUCCCGUCCAUAAAGGACAGCACCUCAUGCCCCACGGCUGCGUCAAUGAGGAGAUCAGCCACAGGCAUGGGAUAGAUAUCCUUAGGCGUUGCAUUGUUGAGGUCACGGUAAUUAACACAUACGCGCAUCUUGCCAUUUUUCUUGCGAACGGGGACAACAUUAGACAGCCACUUAUUAUACUUUGCCACACGAAUGAUACCCGAUCGGUGCAUGUUUUCAAUCUCUUCCUCGACUAUGAUCUGGGUCUCAGUCCGCAUGAAGUGACCGUCCUGCCGUAUUAGACGUCGGUCUGGAUAAGUUGGCAACCGGUGGCAGACCAAAUCCGGUGACAAACUGGGCAUAUCCUCGUAUUUUUUGGCGAAGCAAUCCCUGUACUCGCGUAAUAGGGCAAGAAGGUCAUCAUUUUUGUUCUCCGCCAGCUUAGCACUAAUGGAAAGAAGUAAGGGUUUUUCUGCAGUCUCUACGUCAACUUGUGAAAUAGGGUCGCAGACUUGGGGUGGUGUAUCGUCCAAGGCGGCGGGAGUUGAAGAAAAAGUUUUUUUAGGGUUUGAAUGUAUUGGGCUACUUGAGCUUUUUAUGUUGUAGGCUUUAUUUUGUGUAGUUUAAUGUCUUUCUCUUGUCUGAGUGACUUGUUUAUGGACCUACCCAUGACUUUGUUUGGGCCUCCAUUUGUCUUUGGGUAUUUAUAAUUAUGUUUUACGACCAAAAAAAGUUUCAGCUCACAUUCAAUUUUUCUAAAUAAUUCUAAUUAGCUUUUUAUGUUGUAGGUUUUAUUUUGUGUAGUUUAAUGUUUUUCUCUUGUCUGAGUGACUUGUUUAUAGACCUACCCAUGACUUUGUUUGGGCCUCUAUUUGUCUUUGGGCAUUUAUAAUUAUGUUUCACGACCAAAAAAAAUUUUAGCUCACAUUCAAUUUUUCUAAAUAAUUGUAAUUAUUAUGAUUUGUUCUUGAAAAUAUAUGCUUUUCUUUUAGUUGGGUUGAGAGGGAAGGUAAAGAAGUGCUUGAUAUGACAUAUCACAAUCAUAUAUUAGUAAAAACGGCCUUUCACAAAGAUAACAAUCAUGUAUAUAUUAGUAGAUCGAUGAAAAUCAGAAUUUGAGCCACUCAGACCCAUCUAUGAAGGUAAGGGAGAUAAAAGGCUUUGCUUCCUCAUCAGUGAGUUCCCUAGACCACGAUACCCUCCCUGCAUACUGAGCACCAGGUCCAGUGCACUUGUAUUGCCCAUAAAACACAGUCCUGCACAACACACACAUACCUAAAUUAACAAGCAAUAUCUGAAUAUCAUCAUUGCAAAUGCUUCAUGCGCAUGGUCACUAAGGCCAAAGUGAAACUGCCAAAGCUAGCAUAACCAGAACUGGGUGAGGUUAGUAAAAAAAAAAAAAAAAAAAAAGGUAAGGUGGCUUAUAUAUGCAGAUUUAUGCAGCACCAGCCACCAGGGUUAUAUACUUAUAUGUAGAUGCUGGCGUGGCUAUUCUUAUUAUAUGCCAACAGGAAUGAGGUAAUGUAUGAGGGAAGAUGUGGGUUUUUAUAUCUAUGCACUUCUGGUAUGUGGUGCACUACACGUAGGUAUUGCAGAGGAGAAAGUUCUAGAUGACAUAUAGACAUGGUUUCAGGUCGUUUUUGUGAACCGCCCAUUUUGUCUUCCAAUGGCCGAAAGUGCUCUAAGCAUGCUUGUAUUGGAAGGAUAGAGACCCUAUAGGUGAUAUAUGUGGGUACAAUAUUUUCACUUUUAAGAUGUAGUGAAAAUAUCAUCUAGAAAAAGAAAACUUUUCGGAAAUAAGUCUCAAAAUCAUGUGUCGACAUUGUGCUUAUGUUCAAAACUAGAUGGUUUGGAUACUCUAUAUUUGAUUACAUGAGAGAGAUAAAAUGCUCAAUGAAAUGUCUCUAAGUUAUGUCGGUAUGAGCAUAAAAAGAUAUGCAAUGUAUAUUAGUAGAUCGAGAUCGAGUUGCCUACAUUUCACGAUUAGGGUCACCCCAGUUGUACCAGCCUUUGGGCAUGAUAAUGUUGUCCAUAUAAGUGUAGGCAAAGACAACCCUAGAGAAGGGUCCCCAAGCCCUUCCAAGAUAGAGAGCUCCUGAACCCGUGACCUUACAGUUGACGAAGGAGAAGCCCGUCUCCUCCAGCAAGCUGCUCCUCCCUUGAGCCGUUAAUGCCCCUGUGUUUGUUGCUAUUGCAUGCACGUGACAUCCCUGCACCACAAUCGCACACUUUCAUGUGAGUGAGAGAUUGAGCUUCUGAUCGAGACUGGAACUCCAGGAUUAAUACGACACCACACAAGACACCAAUCCAUCAAGAACAUGCAUUUGCAUAUGCAUGGCCUUAACUUCACUUCAUUGUCAAAGAACAAAAGUAAUUAUUCCCAAUGGCUUGCACGAACCGAUCAUGUUUAGUAGUGUAUUCGAUGAAUUGGUGCUCGAUUUUAGUUUUAACAUCCAAAACACGAGAAGUACACUAUUAUCUUAACAUCGACUAACAUGUCAAGCAACAAUUUGUUAAAAUUAAUCGCGUGACAUAUACAUAUAGAGAAUCGAUGAUCACUAUACAAUUGAAAUUCUAUUGAAACAGUAAUUGAUUAGGAGGUGAAUAGUAAUUAAAAUUACCUCAAAGAGGGAGAGACCAUUUCCGAAGAUGAAAUCCACAGAACCUUCAAUGUAACAGUCUUUGUAAUAAUGCCUUCCCACAUGGUCAUACAAUGUGUCCUGUGCUCCCAAAAACCUACACCCUAAGAAGGCUGCUGUAUCUGCUGAUAUCCGAAACGCCACCGCUUGCUUUCCUAUUGCUCCCGGAGCCGGCACCGGUGUAGUGUUCUGCACAUCAGUCGCACAGUUACACCGGCGAUCGGAUACUAAUCGAUGCAUAGUGAGUUCAUAAUGGACAUAAUUACGUACCUUGAAAGUAAUGUUUCUUGCAAUGAAAUAAGGUGAAUUCACAGCAAAAGUUGCAGAAUUAAACGUCCCCAUCGGUUGUUUUUUCGGACCUGAAGGUGUUUGAGCUGUGUCUCCCCAUUGAACUAUUGUCUUCUCCGCCCCAGCUCCUUCUAUGGUUAUAAACGAUUUCAAUGGCGGUAUAUUUACCUUUUCCCUGCAAAUAUUUACCAUUUCACAACUUGAUCAGUUACUGCAUAGUUAGACAAAAGAAUUGAAAGAUCAUACAAUUGUGUCAAGCAGCAGAUGAUGAAAGAGGUAAAAAGACAGAGCAUUUUGUUAAACGGAUGAUCAAUAUGCCACGUUUGUCGCUGUUUAACAUAUUUCAAACAGUCGACAGAGACCAACACCAACUCCACAAGGAAGAAGACACAAGAUCAUUACUCACUUGUAGACACCUGCAUGGACCUUGAUCACGACUCUGACGAGAUUGAUGAACGGAAGAGAAUCAAUGGCGUCCUGAAUUGAAGUGAAGUCUCCCCGGGAAGGAUUCUUAUCCACAUUGAGUGUGUAAGAAGGGAAGAGCUUGUUCUUCGCGUUCUUAUAUACCGAGUGUUUGAGGCUCCCCACAAACUUAACCCACUUCAUGAAUUGUUGCUCCGAGAAUUGGACUCGGGUCAUGUUCUGACUCAGGUGUACUUUUCCGGCGGAGUUUCCCGGCCGAAUUCCCUUGGUGUGACAUAACGUCUGUGUUGAGCUUAGGACAAGAAGAAGAGAAACAUAGAAAAUGCUUUGGAAUAAUGUUGGCAUAUUAAGAAAGAGAAUAGAGAAUGAGAACAAGAGUAUGUUAUUAGUUUGGGAAUUCCAGGCUAUAUAAUAGAAAAUGACUCGCUCUAACUCUGUGUUAGGGUUUAUAUACAAGUUUUCUGGUGGGUUUGGUUUAGGUGGAAAGUGAACUGAUGGUGCUGAAAUGGAGAAUCAUAGAAGUCACGGGUGGCUUUCUUCUUCUAUAUGUUUACAUGUGAGAGUAGAAACCAAACAAUUUCAGCCGCAAGGAGAGACAGGUUGAGCUUUUGUGUUGCUUAUAAUUAAAAUCGUCCUUGGUUAAAAUUGUUGUUGUUUGCACUUUUUUGUUGGGGUUUGUUUGGUGGUGCCCGUGAAGUGUCUCUCUUUCUGUUUCUGUCUGUGAAUAUAUUCUUUCAGGAAGAUGGUCAAUAAUGGGGCUGCUCCUGUGAUUGCCUAAAACAUUAGUAUAAUGCCUUGAUUUAUAACCUACUUUCUAAUAAUUGGUUACAGAUUCAGCACCAUUAGGUUGAUUACGAGAUGUUCUACAUGAUUCGAGAGUAUAUAUUAAAACUCCUGAGAUGAUUAGGGUUUAGAGAUGUGAAAAUCACUGCCGGUUCUAUAAAACGUUCUGGUUGAUUACUAAUGGAAUGUGAUUCCGGUUGUACUAAUCUGGAUGAUGAAAAUGAAGUAGUCGGUGUAGCUGACGGGAUGGUUUAGGUCCACUUUGCAUAAGAAGACAGAGUGACUUAAUCACGUUGAAAGGCUUGUGUUCUGUGGAGAAUUUUGGUGAUGAUGUAAAACUGUGGGAACCAGAUAUGAACACGGGGUGGAAGAAACCAAUAUAAUGACUAGUAUGCUGUCAUGGAACAAUCAAAUCUCCACGUCCAACUAGUUUCUGGUGUUGUGUAACUUGUGUACUACUUCCACUACCAGCUGCAACUUCAUUGUGUUUGAAAUAAUUGCUUAUUGAAAAAUAAUGCUACAUAAACAUGUGCAUGUCAACUCAUAGGCUUGUUAGUGUUGUGAAAGGGAACUUAGGACAGAGUUCUUACCACAAUGUGUGACUAGCUCACCAAGUAGGAGGAAGAUACAAAUAUCUAACUAUAGUUGUAUGAGCAAAAUGGCACAAAACUCUCCGACGACUAAAUCUAAUAGAGAUUUUGGUAUGAGUAAAUUCUCGACAAUGAUCUAAAUGCAUCUUGGCUUAUUAGGGAUGGCAAUGAGUAGCCAAGAUAUAUACCACAAUGUGAACAGUAAUACUCGUUGUCCUCCCUACAAAGAGGAAAAGAGGGCGAGAGAAGGAAAGCAAAAAUAUGAUUUGUGUUGUACCUAUGUAUCUUAAGAAACGCAAAGCGCGCGUAUGAUCUAUAAUGUUAUUUUCUAGAUCAAAAAAUGAGGAUAACAAGGAAGAAAUUCAUGUCCUUAAAAUUGCGCCAAGUUAUCAUUAAAGUUCAAAUUUAAGACUUUAGGCGUUGUAUUAACCAAACCAGACAUCGCAAAUGCAAAUCCAUUGAGAGACUGAGAGCCAUAUAUAGGCCCCAACCUCAAACAAAAUACACUAACGAAUGAUCAUCUUCUACCAGCGGAGCCAAAGCAAUAACUGGUAGGGUCAACCAAGUUUUUUGGAGUUAAAAAUUUAAAAAAAAAAACUAGGUAUUUUAUGUCUUUCUUUUUUGAUAUAUGCAUUUUUAUUCAGUCAAGCCCGCCCAACUUUCCGACCAGUUCUGCAUCUCCUGUUUGUUUAUACAUGAUUAUGCCUUUAUUCUUUAGUUGCUCAGUUCAUCUUCCGCUCCUCCUUCUAUUUUUUUUAGUCUUCUCCUCCUUAAAUCUAAAAAAAUCCAAGUUUUUAGGGAAAUUUUUGUUGGGUUUUCCAUUGUCUCUGAUUUUCAGAAUUUCUUUCUAUUUUCAAUGAUGCCUACUUUGUUUUGAAUACUUAUUAAUGUCUAGUUGAACUCUUACAUUUUGCAUGGUUAUAUCUGAAUUUUUUUUUACCUUCGACCAAAUUUGAAGCCCACCUCAUAUCGAGAGCCUAGAUCCGCCGCCACUGUCAGUGACGAGGGGUUAUGAACGGCACGUUAAUAUUGCAUCGUCGUAUUCUUAUACUGUCGUGUAUUAAUGGGAAAAUUUUACCCUACAAAUUUGUAUGGCAUACAAACCAGUCUAUACAGAUAAAACCCAGCACGCCUGCUGCACGUGCUCCAUCCCCAGUCCCCACCCACCCCUGUUAGUUGUAUGCCAUGCAUACGUAUACGUACAACAGCCAAACCCGUAUGCAAGAAUAAUUAGUGAACAUAAAAAAAUAUCGAAUACCGCUGUGUAUGAAAGAAUCGUUAGAAAACAUAAAAAAAAAAAAAUAGUAGAAAUUAAGUGGACGGAAUAAGAAAAUACGUGGCAGCUAAUCGAUCAAAACAUAACUGAAGACCGACAAGCAGCCAUAGCUAAAUCAAUAAGCAGUUUCCAAAUUGGGAAAUCCGGCACCCAAAACAGUAAAACCUUCGAUGUUCCCCACAAAUCCGACCCAAAUGCUCAAACCAGUCACCGCGGCUUUCCUAGCCCUCCUCAUCUCCUUCAUCUUCCUCCUCUUCUUUCCAUCAACCCCAAAAUCCUCCUACCACUCCCUCUUCAUCUCUGACUCCCUCUCCUCCAACGCCUCCAUCUCCCGCCACCUACACACCCUCACCGGCCGCCCCCACGUCGCCGGAACCCCCGCCAACGCCGACGCCGCCGCCUACGUCCUCUCCAUCUUCACCUCCUCCAAUCUCAACUCCCGCAUCACACCCUACCACGUCGCCCUCACUUACCCUAUCUCCCGCUCCCUAACACUAACCCCUUCACCUUCUUCACCUCCCCUCAACUUUGACCUCCAACAAGAAACCUACCCCGGCGACCCUUAUGCUGACGUGGCAGCCGAGGUCCUCCCCACUUUCCACGCCUUUGCCAAGUCCGGGGACGUGACCGGUGAAGUUGUGUACGUCAACUACGGGAGGUUGGAGGACUAUGAGACUCUUAAGAAUAUGGGAGUCAACGUUUCUGGCACUAUUGUGCUUGCUAGGUACGUAUAUUAGGAGACUUGUAUUCUCUAGUAGGGCCGCUGCGGCUGCGGCUGCCCCAAGUUUUUAUGUUUGGUUUAUAAUGCAAAAUAUAAGAGGCUAUAUAGGGAAAUAUCAAAUAUGGAAUGUGUCAUUUUUCUAAUUGUGCAGGUAUGGAGAGAUUUUCAGGGGGAGUAUAGUGCAGAUUGCAUACGAGCAAGGGGCGAUUGGGGCUUUGGUGUAUACGGAUAGGAAGGACUACGGCGGAGGAGGCGGAGGGAGGUGGUUUCCGGAGGAGAAGUGGCUGCCGCCGAGUGGGGUGCAGGUGGGGACGGUGUAUAACGGGAUAGGGGACCCGACAACGCCGGGGUGGGCGAGUAGUGAAGAGUGUGAGAGGCUUUCUGAUGAGGAAGUGGAGAAGAGUGGGGACUUGACUUUGAUACCUUCACUGCCUAUUUCUGGUGCUGAUGGUGAGGUUAUUUUGAGGGCCAUCGGAGGAAAAGUGGCGAAUGAUGAUUGGCAGGGGAGUGGGGAUGCCCCAACUUAUAGGGUUGGUCCAGGUCCUGGGGUUGUGCAUCUUAGUUACAAUGUAAGUCUUAGUUAUGCCAGGUGAAGCGUUUCAAUGUGUUCUGUGUACUUUUAGGCACAUUGUAUGUUUAUGAAGAUAUCAUAACCAUCCAAGUCAAUAAGGUAGAACUCUAUAUAUAUGCAGCAAGUUUGUGUCUCUAUAGUCUAUACUGAUUCUGAUGUUGGUUGUAGGGGAAGCAAGUUAUAGAAAAAAUUGAGAAUGUGAUUGGUGUCAUAGAAGGUGAAGAAGAACCUGAUAGGUAAGUUCUGCAAGUAAAAUUCUAGUAUUUGAGAAGUUGCAGCAUCUAUUACUAUUAGGAUGUCAGACUACACAAUGACAGUCACUACUCAUCAGAAUGUACUUCGAUGAAUGAAAGAAACCAACUAAUUGUUAGUUUCCGAAUAUAUGCAGAUUUGUCAUUCUAGGUAAUCACCGCGAUGCGUGGACAUUUGGAGCUGUUGACCCAAAUAGUGGAACUGCAGCACUGCUAGAUGUAACAUUGGACUUAUAAUUUGUAGAAUUAUCAACUUCCAAUUCAAACUUCAAACUCAGCAAAAACUCAUUUUGAUAUGUGAUACAGAUUGCUCAAAGAUUGGGGAAGCUGCAGGAAAAAGGAUGGAAACCUCGGCGCACAAUUAUCUUGUGCAAUUGGGAUGCUGAAGAAUAUGGCUUGGUCUCCCUCUCUUCCUCUGUCACUAUUUCUACAUGUUUGUUUCUAUGAGAUUGUAAACUGAAUAAUGUUUGCAGAUAGGAUCAACUGAAUGGGUAGAAGAAAACAGAGAAAUGCUAGCUUCAAGGGCUAUUGCUUACUUGAAUGUCGACAGUGCAGUAUAUGCGCCAGGAUUCUGGGCCUCUGCCACUCCACAGCUUGAUGAACUUCUUAAACAAGCUACUCAACAGGUAUUGCAAAAGAGUUAGCUAAAUAUUUUAACACUAACAUUAUUCCCCACCUCAGUCAUUUGAAAUUUAAAUUUGAAGGUCAAAGAUCCUGAUAACUCAUCACAAACUGUCUACCAAGCAUGGGUUGGUUCCAGCAGUUCCCCUACAGUAAGCAAUUGCUUCACUGAACUCCCCAUAUAAUAAAUCUUCAUUGCUUUGUUUAGGAUUGCAAUUCAUGGCAUUUCUGUUUAACUGAUUAGCUAUGCAAGUCUUGUUAUUAGCACAUUUUAAAUGUUGGAAGUUGUUUUUCUUGAAAAGAUUGGCAGGUUGGGAAGUGGAGAAUCUGAUUUUGCAGCUUUUGUUCAAUAUAUUGGAAUUCCAUCAGUUGACAUGGCUUUCGGUAGAGGUAAUGACCCAUUUGAUGUGGGUGAAGCUCUUAAGUCUCAACCAUCAUUGCCAGUGAAAUAUUAGGAAGACAUAUAUAACCUAGCUACUUAGCAUUAUGAUCUAAGUUGCUUACAAGUUACAACUCAAUUUUGAAUUAUAGGAUACCCAGUAUACCAUUCCAUGUACGAUGACUUUGUAUGGAUGGAAAAAUUUGGUGAUCCUUUCUUUCAUAGGCAUGUUGCAGGUCUGCUUUCUUCUGUUUUUCUCCAAUGAAAUUAUACAGACUUACACUCUUAGAAUGACAAUAUAAAUUCAAAUGUCCCAACUGAUUGUGAUUUUAUCGAAAACAGUGGCCAGUUUAUGGGGUUUGAUAGCUCUUUGGCUAGCAGAUGCAGAGUUUUUGCCUUUUGAUUAUACAUCCUAUGCACUGGAGCUGCAGGUAUGCCUCUGUCUUUCAAUCACUGCAUGCACUUCUGAAUAACCAAAUGUGUCAGUUACAUUCAGUCAACCUGAAUAUACUUCCAUGAUAUUUAAUCCUUGAUUGACAGAAAUACAUGAAGGAUUUGGAAAUUGAGAUAUCAGACAAGAACAUAAACCUAACUCCUCUGUUCAAGUCUGUUGAGGAACUCAAAAAAGCAGCCACAUUAAUCAACAACCAGCAAAGGGUAUUAAUCAUGUCUCUAAUAAAUCUUAGUUGACAAUUAAUUUCACGAAUGGUCUAAAAUGGAAGCGUAACUGUACAGGAAAUAAAACAAAACAAUGGCUGGCCUUCUAUAAGGAAGAAAGAUCAUUUUAAGGUGAGAGAGCUGAAUGACAGACUAAUGAUGGCAGAGCGUGCGUUUACAGAUCAAGAUGGACUGUUUGGAAGGUCAUGGUAUAAGCAUUUGGUAUGUUUCUUGUUAAGUUUCAACAAAAGUUAUUUCCUUUUCUCUUUCGAUUUUGAUCCUCAAUGUAUCUCAUAAUAAGUUGAUGUACGUAAUCCUCAAUGCCAAUCUUGGAUUUGUGAUUAGUACAAAAUGGACCGAUCAGUGUAAUGUAUUUUGCAGGUUUAUGGGCCCGCAAGAAAUGAUGAUUACGGAACUAAAUCAUUCCCCGGCGUAGAUGAGGCCACUGAAAAGGCAAAGAGACUGAACACAGCAGAGUCAUGGAAAUUUGUACAACAUGAAGUUUGGAGAGUUGCUAGAGCUGUGAGACAUGCAGCAAUAGUCAUCAAUGGUGAUCUAUCAUGAUAGCUUAUGAGACAUUUGGACUGAAAUACCAUACAGAUUGAUUUCAAUUGAUAACUUGUAUAGCGUUUUAAUCAGAAAUCUCCAUGUUGCUGUCACAGAUUUUCCCUGUUCAGAUUAUUGUUUUGCCAAAUUCAGAUAAUGGAAUAUUAAUGGUAUUGCCCAUUUUGAUGAAGGCAGCCACUUUAACCCUUAUGGUUCUGGGCAUAGAUGGAUCUCAUCGACAUCUUUUCCUCGAUUACAAUAGAUCUCCUCAAUUUAGGUAACUUUAGUUCUUUCCUUUUUUUUUUUUUUCCCUCUUUUCUUUUCCCGUCAAGAUUUGGACAUACGCUAAAGGCUUACUAUAAGUUCUGAGCCAUAGAUAGGCCCUAUGGAUGCAAGUCUAGCCUGUAGCUCAACAACAAUGACAUGGCUUUCGAUUUCGUUUGCUCUUGAUCCUGGUCUUCCUCCCUUAUGCUUACCGAUCCUUAUAUGUUUGUGCAUAAUAUGCAGCCCGUUUGUAUUUUGCUUCAUGAUGAUUCACAAUUGUUAUAUUUCAGUAAGUAGGUGUUUGAAAAACAUCACUCAUGAAACAGAAGAGGAUAUCGAAUCCGGCCAGCUAUCAUCAUCAGUAACUUCACCAUCAAAAACAGCACAGCAGCAACAGGAGGACUGGAGUCAGUGCUAUACGACUAUCGAUCGAACGGAAGUUGUUAAUAGAACUGGCAGCUGUAUUGGUGAUCAAUGUACUAUAUGCCUGGGGAAAUUUGAGGAAGAAGAAGACGAGUGCGUGAUGCUUCGCAACUGUAAGCAUGCAUAUCACCGUAUAUGCAUCGACAAGUGGCUACCGGAAUCCUGUCCGGUUUGUCGUCAAAGCAUCAUCGGAGUAGAACAAUAAAUCCUAUACAAGUACAAAAUAUCAAAGAGACAAAAUCACGGUUCCCAAUCCUAAUCCUAAUCCUCGUAGGAUAUCUCCCACUCAAAUUUAAAAGUCAUUUGAGCUUCCGUAAUCGUGAUUUAUACGAACGGUUCUGUUUGGACAACUUUUGUUCUGUUGAUUUAUUUAAUCUAAUUCGGUAUCCAAAUGAUCGUCAAAUUUGAUGAAAUUUUGCAGGAAUGAUUUACACACUGUGUUUUAGACAUUGUACAGUUGAGUUGUGGAAAUGCGACUUGAAAGUGAACGAAACAAGAAGACCCACACUUUAAUUUCAAAGUUGGACACCACUUUGGAAGAUAUAUAUUUAUAUAUAUAUAGCCCUUCUUGGCUACGGACGUCCGCACUAAUGGUUUUGGUGCGGAAUUCUAUUUUUGCACCACUUUUUCGAUGAAUUUCCUCAUAUCUACCGUCUAGUAUCUAGAUAAUAUUGUGUAGAUCAUCUCUGCAAAAUUUCAGCCAAUUUGGUGAUCGUUAAGGCCCUCAAAAUUGUGUUUUUCUGGUAUAAACAUGAACCGGACAGAAUUCAGUCUGUCCAUUUGUUUUUCAAGUUUGAGGACCUUAUUGCAAAGAUGAUCUACACAAUAUUAUCUAGAUACUGGACAGUGGAGAUGAGGAAAUUCAAUUGAAAAGUGGUGUAAAAAUGGAAAUCUGUACCAAAACUUUAGUGCGGACGUCCGCAGCUGAGAAAAAUCGUAUAUAUAUAUAUAUACACAGAGAGGAUGUGAAGCGGACGUCCGCACACCGGCUUAAAGUGCGGACGUCGUCCGUUCUCCGCCAUCUCACACCGGCAACGGUUUCUCUCCUUCCCGAACGACAGCACAGGUUUCUAGGACGGUUUCUCUCCUUCCAGGACUGGUUGGCGACAAGUUUUCCGGUCGGAUUGAAGCUCUGGACGGAAAACACCAUGAUUGAUCAAGGUUGGCCGAAAAAACUUGUCGCCAGCUAGUCCUGAAAGGAGAGAAGCCGUCCUGGAAGCCUGUGCUGUCGUCUGGGAAGGUGAGAAGCCGUCGCCGGCAUGAGAUGGCGGAGAACGGAUGACGUCCGCACUUUAAGCCGGAGUUCGGACGUCCGCUUCACAUUCUCUCUGUAUAUAUAUAUACCCUAAUCAGAGACGCACGUCUGUUUUUUAACGAUAAUGCGGAUGUGUAUACGUGUCAAGCAUGCCAUUAACUUCUUUCUCUCAUAGGUCCCACCCACAUAUCUCUCCCUUACUCCCUUAUUAAACUCCGAAAGUUCUUGUAUACAUCAAGAUUUAAGUUAAUCAAGAGUGAUUAUGCAAUCUGAACCGUUCGUUUGAUCUAAGAUUCUACAUGCACUAACAUCAAAACUAAUGCACUUAAGAAGAUAAAAAUAGUCAACACUGUAAAAAUACAUAACAGUAAAUCUUCAAUUUAAUUUAUCAAACUCAGGGUAAAAUCCAAAAAGAAAGAUUAUCUCAAAGAAAAAAUUAAAAAUUCUGGAAGAGAAUAAUUACUUUUCCUUCUGAACUCUGAAGAACUGGAGAACAAAUUUUUCACCAUCUUCACCUCUUCCCCCCGAUCUGCUCCUAACAAUCAUUUGGGAUUAAUCAAAUUCCUUUUUUCAUUUUAUGAAUCUGACACUUCCAUCAAUCAUAUGAUUCAUAUCUGUUCAGCUUUCAUAAACCCCGAAGUCCCACUCUUCCCAAAACCUCCUUUCGAUCCCACCUUCUCGUUCGGCGGCGCCGAUCUGGAAUUGAACGUGGUUGGCUGGAAUUUCAAAGCGAAAUGAGGGGAAACCCGGCAGCGGUUUGAAGGUAUCUCAGAACUUUACGAAUUCGAUUGACGUUUGAUGAAUCCGUGUGUUGGGAGGGAGGUUUCUGUCGGGUAGGGAUCGUUGUUGGGCGGAGCCAUGGUGUUGAGGCAGGUCAAGCGGCGGCGCCACCACGGGUGUAGGUGAAGAAAUGGAGGAGGGUCGUACAUGUUUGGGUAAUAGAGUAUGGAUUCACGAUCUGGAUCGAGGCUGCGUGGGAUUGGGAUCGUGAAGUUGGAUGGCGUCCUCCUCUGGUGGUCUGACGGCGGCGACAUGGCGAUGAGGGUGGAGUGUCGACAUCGAUGGUGGCGCAGGGGGCGUCCUCUUGCAAUUCAAUUUCUUUUCUCGUGAAAGCAAUGUUCAUUUGAUUAUUGUUUAUCAUGACCGUAAAAAUCUUAAUACUGUUACGGAUCUGUUAGAGCACGUGAGUUGCACAUGACCGAUUCAAGUGCACGUUGGUGCACUAAAUCUGCUCCGAUUAAACUCAAUACUCAUGAUGCGCUCUCUCCUUCUUUUUCCCUUCUCGAUAUCAUUAUUCUCGGAAUCAAAUUUGCCAGUUUGAUAACCAUCUAAUAAAAAAAUAAAAAACUGACAGGUAGAAUAAUGAAUUAAUGAUCAACCCUCUCUCUCUCCUCUCUCUCUCCCUCUCUUUUUGGAUUGGUUGUGGUUCUCAAAUUUGCGGGUCGGCAAAUUUGAUGAUUCCAUUAUUCUCACCCGAUAUCUUCGUAAUCCAGCACUAAAGAUUCUGAUUUGGGAAUGGGUUCUGGCAAAAGAAGGAAUAAAGGUCAGUUCUUCCAACACUAAAGAUUCUGAUUUGGGAAUGGGUUCUGGCAAAAGAAGGAAUAAAGAUCAGUUCUUCGAUCCACUGCUGACCAUGGGAUGAGACGGAUGAGACUCAUCUCUGAUCCCCGACGACUAAUCGAUCCUGAAGUCGAAACAGUUGUUUGGGCUGAGUCCGACGGCUGUAGUUGUCGCCACCACCGCUACACUGUUCGAGGCCGAGUGUGUUCACGACUUCUUUUAUGGACUCCGUUCACGCAAGAUAGCCUCUGAUUAUUGGGAAGCUUCUUCCUUGGAUGAGUUUAAAACCCUGAUCAGAAAAUUAAGAAAGAAAGGAUUCAAGAUCAAAAGAAUUAAUAUUGAUAGCAUCGGAUCCAUUAUUGCUAUAUCAAGCUUUAUACAAAGUCAAGAAGUAAUGCCUCUUGAUCUAAUCUAAUCUAUUUGGUGAUUUAAUCAUCUAAUAUAAUUUGGUUUAUUUGUUUUGCGGGGGUUUGUGAAUUGUGAAAUAAAUCCAUAAAUGAAAGAAGUAUAAAAGUUGUCUCAUGUUUCUAGAUUUGUGAACCGUGGUUUGUGAAUCUGAUAAAAAUAAGAAGUGAAAGAAGAUUGGAAGAAUAUGUUUCUGGAAGACGUAGGAGUAAGGGAGAGAUAUGUGGGUGGGACCCACGCGAAAAAGAAGUUACUGGCUUGCUUGACACGUACACAUCCGCUUUUUUGGUUAAAAGACGGACGGAGAAUGCUUAUCAGGUAAGAAUCUCCUUACCUCAGAUAAGCUAUAGAUUUCAGUAUUUGCUCAAUUUUUUGAUUAUAUUUUCUUAUCUCAACUGUUUAGAUUUUAGGUAUAUAAAUGAGUAGAUCUUUUUUAAAACGUACGGUUCAUGCAAAACAGAUUCGGUUUAUUUAUUAAUUUUAUAUAUUUUUAAUAUUUUAAUGAUAAUUAAAUUAACUGAAAUUUUAUAGAGAUGACCAAAUCAUGUAUAUCUAAAUAGUAAAUAAUUAUGAUGAGAAAAUAUGAUAAAAAAUAGAUCAAAUUAAAAAAAUUUAUACUUUAUAAAAAGGUCCUUAUUUAAAAAGACAUAUAUAUAUAUAUACACGCGCGCUCUGCUUACAAAUUACUCAGACAGUCUGAGUCAGACUACAUGCAACUUUGAAAGAAGUUAAUGGGUUGCUUGACACGUACACAUCCGCAUUUUUGGUUAAAAGACGGACGUGCGUGCGCCUCUGGAGAGAAGCUGCAGAGUGACAUUCACAUUUCUCACAUGGCAGAGUUGUGCGUUUCUUCUCGGUCCUCCUUUCUCCUCCACCGACCCCAAACCGGAAUUCUCCACAACCGCCUAAGCCCCCGAACCUCCACUUCUCUUUCUCUAAGUGGCGCCGGAGCUCCGCGUCUGCGAUUCAAGCCUUACUUUAAUCAAGCUCGCAGCUUGAAGCUUGGAGUGGUCUCCGAUCCUACAGCUCCCAGCUUAUUCACCGUUGAUUCCUGGACCAAGGGUAUCGUGAUCGAGCCCGAUAUCGGCGGCGGCGACGGAGGCGAAUUUGGCGGGAGAGGCGGCGGCGGAGGUGUUGGUGGAGGAGGAGGAGGUGAUAACAGUAGCGGUAGAGGCGAGGAGGGAGGUGAGGAUAGCAGCGAGAAAAAAGGGAUGUCGAUGUCUCAGAAGCUAACCCUAGCUUAUGCUGUGCUUGUUGGAGGUAAACUAAACCCUAGCUAGCUUUGCUUCAAUUUUAGCAUUUUCGAAUUGCGUAAAGUUUUCAGCUGUUGUUGAUGAUUAGCUUGUUUGAAUUGCAUGGAUUUUCGGCAUGGAGAAGUAUCUUAUUGCAUUAGCUUUGUGAAGUUGUCAUCUUGUAUUAGUUUGCGAAGAUAUCGAAUGUGUUAGGUAUUAGUGAAAUACUUGGAUGGUGAGUAUGUUCUGGGCCUAAAGUGUUGAACUGGUUACUAGUGCCGAGGAAGUUGAGACCUUUGUGUUUGAUUGGUGAUCUUCAGUGUAGUUUACAAGGUUCCAGUAAUGUGUAUUUGGGACUUUGGUGUGACCUUGCGGUGGCUCCUUUUGUUUCGGGCUUAUUUGUUUGUGUUUGUCAGUUUUGUAUUGGCUUGGCUGGUAGAAUCAACAAUGCUUUUAGUUUGGUUGGGUUGAGUGUCCUCUUUGUGGUGAUGUCAAUGACCAGAAUGUGUACACUUCAUUGGCGCUCUUGUUUCCCUGUGUUUAGAAGCAAGCUAGGUUGGAGUUUGCAUUUCAGCAUUCAUGACUUGGUUGUGCACUUGUUUUCCAAUUUGUGUAAAUAGUAACUGAUACAUCCCAUCAGAUUGAGCAGUUAGCAACCUGAAUGCUACCGAACUUACUGUUUAAACUAUUAACAAUUCAACAUUCAUGACAUAAAUUUGCACUAGUUAUUCUGGCUUCAGGAAGGUAUGCGGCCAAUUUGAUUAUGUUUUCAAAUAUAGAAAAGGUUGACUCCUGUCAUGACCUGGGGUUGAGAAAUUAUUGAUUUGGUGACCUGAAAACCUUUGCAUAUGUAUGUCUGCAAUAACUGUAUCAGUAUUAGUAUACUCAAAUGUACUCUGGUAGCCAAAAUCUGACUUGAUGUAUUCAAGCAUCAUAAGAAAGGCUUUAGAUGUGAUUUGUACGUUAAUGGCUAUAGGAACACGGAUUUUACAAGGUUUAGAGGGAUUUUGGCGGUGUUUUUAUUUUUGCAAGCUAUUUAAGUACCAUGUACUAAACAAAAGCAACUGUAAAUAUCCGUUGUUCUAGGAAUUAUCUUUCAGAUGGAAAGUUUUUUCACUUAAGUAUCCGUAUUCGUCAAGAACGUCACCAAGUCGUAAAUUCCUUAUGGGUCUUACCUACUUGUAAAAGGUUUUUUCUAAAAGGAGGUCUACAUGGUUAAAUGUUUACCUGUUUAGAUUCAGUUCUCCAAUUUGCAUCUCAUGUUCCAAGACCGUGGUCUGGAUGUUUGGACAGCAAUGAUCAAUACAGAGUUACAGACAUAUCGGAGGCGUUUGUUUAGCCGGAUAUAAAGGCUGGAUUUGAGUAAUUAUUUCCUGUCUGACUGGAAGAUGUGUUUGGACUUAUGGAUAACUCCUCAGCAGAUUACUCAUAUCUUGUUGAAAAGGUGUUAUUAAAUUUAUCCGUCUGGAAAACAACCAAAACACCUUCGUCUUCACCGCUGCAAUGGCAGGACCAUCGACUACUCGCGCACGACCCUCGACUUCUACACCAACAAGACCCCAUCGAAGCGCCGCUGCAACGAGAUCGACGGAUUCUCGACCGACCGCUGCUUGGACAUCGUCGCCGACGAGAUCGCGGUUGACAAUAAGCCUCGUCCGCCCCGUCUUCUUCACCUCAGUGAGCACCACCAACAUCACCUCCCCGAGUGUCGCCGUGAAUGAUCAGAUCUGAAAUGGACGCUAGGAUCAUGAAAGUGAAGGAUGGUUUUGGACUAGAAUCAUCAAAAGUGGAGGAUGGGUUCUGACUUCUGAGAUUGAAUUUGAAUAUGAAUCUGAAUGUAGAGAUUGAUGUGCGAGCGAGAUUGAUGGAGAGGAGGGGGUGGGAGGUUGAGGUGCGAGAUUGAUUGAAUCUGAGUCUCUGUUUGUUUUUUUUUUUUUUCACAGUAGUAGUAAGUAUCCAUUUCUAUUCAAAAUCUGCUUUAACAAAACAAAAGGGUAAGGUUUAGGAUUUCAUUUAAAAUCCAAUCUCAUACCAAUCAAAUCUAAUUCCGUAUCCUAUCACAGUCCAAUCCGUGUUCCCAAACCUAGCCAUCAGUCUAUCAUGUCCAGUUCUUAUGCAUUUUGUCAAGUCCUUCAAUAGGUCACUUUUCUUUUUUUGGUGUUAAUCUUUAGUCUAUGGCACUGAUUGUUUGGACUCUCACAGUUACGUUUGUUGACAGUGGGUGGCGUUAUGGGCUUUCUGAAGAGUGGCAGCAACAAGUCACCGUCAGCAUCCUGGCUCUAUCUUGCUUACAGUGUUCUUCCUAAAAGAACAGUUUCUGCAUCAUCCCUUGGGCUUGGUAAGUAAUCAUCUGAUAUGCUCGAUUGUUACAUAUUUUAGUACUACACUGCUAAUUGCUAGUAUUUAUGUGUGUGUGUGUGUGUGGGAGUCCUGCUAACUAAUUACUCAGACUACAUGCAACUUUGAAAUUUCAAAAGCAAUUUCUUUCUUGAUCCCUCAGCUUCCUUCCACAAGCCCUUUUUCUUAAUUAGAAAUUCCAUGGCUGGAAGGCCACCCAUUCUUUGGUUACAGAUUAUCAUGAGACUACUACCUAUCUUUGUAGUUUUGGUCGUGCUUGUCUGUGUGUUUGUGAGCUGUUGUCAACAAGCCGCACAAGAUAUAGAAACAGGUGAUGGUGGACAAGCAACACAGCUGGGUAUGAGCAUAUACUACGAAAUAUCCAGAAGCAACAUAGAUGGUGACUGCUGCAUUUGCCUGGGGGAGUUUGAGGAAGGUCAUGAGCGCGCAGAGCUUCACAGGUGUAAGCAUACUUAUCACCGUGAAUGCAUUGAUCGGUGGUUACCUAAACCAUGUCCAAUUUGUCGACAAAGACCAGUAAUGUAACUCUGUAAGCCUGAUCGAUUAGAUUAUUAAACUUUCAGAGAUCGGUUCAAUUUUGCAUUGAUAUAAAAAUCAAUCUCGCUCAACGGAAUUUUCUUACUCUAGUAGUCUAGUUAAUCAACAAUCAUUGGCCAAUUUAACUAUAUACUAAAGUAUGGUUUACUGUUUAUAUUCACUGUUCACAUCACAUGAAUAGUGCACGGACGACUUUACCCUUACUUUUGGUGGGUGUGAUUCCGUUUAUGUCCUCUAUUUCUAAAAAACCACGAAAUUACCAUUUACCCUAGAUAUAUGAUUGUCUUCUAUAUAAUUAGUUGUUGUUGAGGAUGUUGUGGGUUGGGAAGUAAUUUUUGAACUCUUAUCUUCAUUACCGUGUCUCAAUUUUUUUUCUUCGUAGAUCUCACAAAGGGUAUUGUUAUCGAAGUCAAUCUAAAAUAGGGUACCGUGUCUCAAUUUUUUUUUCUUCAUAGAUCUCACAAAGGGUAUUGUUAUCGAAGUCAAUCUAAAAUAGGGUAGUGGUAUCAUAGACCAAGGUUGAGAAAAUUUAUUUUCUUAAUUAUUGAGGUGAAACAAUUUUGGUUCUAUUUUAGCAACGGAAUAUUAAUUGAAGUACAGACAUCUUUGAUUUGGCCAAAGAAAUUAUCUGGUUGCAAACCAACUCCUAAUUAACAAAACGUACUAAGUUAAUUUAAAUAUUGUGUGAUGAAAUGCUAUGUUAUAUAUACUAAUGCAAUAUAUUUGGUUUUGUUUUGUUUUGUUUACUUUUAAUUUACUUGGUUUCUCAUCUUUGGUUUUAGUUUUGUUUACUUUCAAUUGAGUUGGUUCCUCAUUUUGGNNNNNNNNNNNNNNNNNNNNUCUUUAGUAGUUUAUUUUUUUUUUUUUUUUUUUUUUUCCUAUAUUUAGUUUUCUAAAAUUGCGUUUUUGGUGAAUAACAGUUAAACAAAUAGGAGCAUUUUGUACAGUCAAAACUGGAGCUAUAUUUUCGAUCAUACUGCUCCAGAUAAGUUGUUCUGCUUUGUGCACUUACAAGACAUUUACUAUUUUGGGUAUGACACAACACUAGAUGUUUUGUUAUGUAAUGUUGUUGCUUUUGUAAUAGCUUCAUUAUUAGAAUCAUAUGUAUAUGUAAUAUACAAUGUAUUGAAGUUCUAUGAAGUACAUAUCAAAAACUUUUCCAUCAAUCAACUGAAUCAUUAACCAGCUUUAUAAAUAUACACACCGCGUCAAGGCGCGGGUAUCAACUCUAGUUACAUUAACAAAACAAAACAAAAAAACACAACGUUUGUGAAAACCAAAUAGUGAGAAAAUUUAAAACACAAAAAAUAGAACGCCCACCGUGGGGCUCGAACCCACGACCACAAGGUUAAGAGCCUUGCGCUCUACCAACUGAGCUAGACGGGCUUAUGCCUGCUCCACCUGAUUCAAGACCCUUACCCUCAAAACUCACAGAAAAUAACAAUAAUCAAAUGUCAUAGCAUUUGCAGACCCAAAGAAAAUCAGAUCAUACACCAAGUACCAAUAAGAGAAUAUAAACCAAAUAAAAUCCGCAUAAACUCAAAGUCUUACAUAAACAUCUUACUGAUCAUCGCCUUCCUCGGCCUUAUCUAUUUACAUCUCAUUCAUGGAAAACUUUAAACCACAUGAACAUCAAGAUCACGGAUCAAUACCAUCAGACGCUUGGGAUCUCAACUUUGUCUUCAAAAUUCGGAUCCUUGGCAUCGAUGACCUCCUUCUGGAUGCCCAUCUCGGCUGUGGAGUAUCCCAGAUCGCCGGCCCAUGUGAACUUGCCGCCAUGGCCACCUUUCUUGGGCGAUCCAUUCAUGCCCGACCCUGAUCUCCUGUCCUUCUUCACCUGAUCCUCUCUUGCAUUUCCUUUGUGACUCUUCCCGUUUCCGCUCUUCUUCAUCUUCUACUUCUUCUUCUUCUCUGUAACUGAAGCUUGGACCUGCUUAUGGGAUCAGUGCAAAGAGUUGUGGCUGUAUUUAAGGUCAAGGUCGUGGGACGUCGUUUGUUUUAUUUUCUGUGGGGUUCUGGGGUACGUGUGGUGCUGUUAUUGGAGGGAAGCAAUCGGAUAAGAUCAAGGAAACGACAACAUGUGAACUAGCAAAAUAACGGCUGUAAAAGUAGUUUUUUUUUUUUUUUUUUUUUACAGCUUUAAACAUGCUCACUAGUACCGUAAAAAUGAUAAGCGAGAUACAUGCAUGAGUGUUAAUAAAUUUACUAAUUGUAAUUAUGAAUCCUGAUACGAGAUAGAUUUGAAUUCAAAUAUCUGUUGGUCUUUGUAAUUAAAAUCGGCAAUGCGCCUACAGUCACCAGUUGUUUUUAACUAAACCACUCGUUCUUGAACCUUUUGGUAUGCUUAUAAAAAGAACCUUAAUAGUUUUAUGAUAUGUGCACAACAUUUCUGGUUCUUAGUAAACACAUAUAGCUGUAGAUAUCUUUCAAGGCAUACGAGUGUCAUGAUGAAGAGGGUGAUGAUGUGAUGGUUAGAGAGCUUGAUAUAUUCACACUUAUCAAAUCAAUGAUUUACCAGAAACUCGGCUUACACGUAUAAUCAAUACUCUUAUUUUAUUUUUGUUUACUUGAAAAUGAUGUAAAAUAAUAGAAUUUGUAUGAUUUAUAUUUACAUUAUAAAAUUUCACUUUACAUUUAUAAUACAGAGAACAUCUUUGAAAAAGCAGUUAUGGAAACAUGCUCUUCUUCAAAACCUAGAUAAAACAUAAUCAAUAAUUGCUGAAAGAGCAGUUAAGCUUUUGCCAAAAGCCAGGAAAGUUCUCUACGAGUCAAAGCUUAAUGAUGGAGUUUCAAAUCGUCGAUGCCUACUACUCAAACAACAGUUUCCAAGAUCCUUUAGUACUAAUCCAAACACAUGGAAUGAUAUUUUAAUUUUUACUUGUUAGUCUGAUCUGAUACAUAAUUGUUACAGACGAUUGAAGCACGAAAUUGGUUUUUUUUUUUUUGGGAAUGUAACCUUCAAAACUUGCAAAUUUCUUCCCACUUAAUGAAAUGGAAGUAUGGAUCAAUCAAAUACAAACACGAAAUGACAUGCUUAAUUUUUUUUAUUGUUAGUUUAAAAAAUGUUAAAAAAUCUACAUCAUUACCUGAGAAUAUAAAACAAAACUGUAAACGUGGGCUGAUUGGGGUUGCCGUGCACCCCAAGUCCAAAGUCUUGGUGUCAAUUCAAUUUCUCAGCCCGUUCAACCCUUGUGGGACCCUUAUCAUCCCCCUUGCUGACACGGCGACCUCUCAUUGGCAAGACUCUUAGGAAGGUCAAAUGCCGUUUCUCCAAGAAAAAAGAAAAAGAAAAAGGAAAACAAAUAGAGAAUAAAUAAAGAAAUUGAAGGCAGAAAAUAAAAGCAAUGUUAGGGUCCUCCAUAAACCUCAUUCUCCCGCCGCCGAUUUCAUCUUCGCCGUUUCUCUCUCUCACUCGUCUCUCUCUCCCGUCUCAUCCCGCCGCCGGUAACCUCUCAACUCUCUCUCUCUCUCUCUCUCUCUCUCUCUCCCUCUCUCUUUAUCUCAUUAUAGCUUUUUUCUUACGCGCGCUUUCUACUAUGCUCGGAUACUGAGAGUUUCGUAGUGCUUUAGUGUUUGUUUCGUUAGGGUUAGGGUUUAUACUGAUCUUCAUAGCAAUUUUCAUAGCUGUGGUUUGAAAUUUGAUACAGUCAUUGUGAAACUAGACAGAAUUGUUGAAGGCGUCAUCUAGGAAGCUCAUUUUUGCAACCAAGGCACGCUCGGUGUCAACCAUGGCAGCUGUGAGUUUGUAUUUCUUUCGAUUCUUUGAGUUUCGCGAGAUUCGGUUUCGGUGUUUCUGAAGCUGAAUUUGAUUUUCUUUGUGUGUCUCAGGGAGGAGAGAGUGUGGCGAGUGUGAAGCGGCAGUUAGGAAAACUGUUUGAAGUUUCGAUUAGAACAGCUGUGCCUGAUGUGAAUGUCGAGCCAGCAGUUGUUCCGUCGAUUGAAAAGUCUGGGAAGAAGUUUGGAGAUUAUCAGUGGUGUGUGAUAGGGUUUAAGCUGUGAUUUGUUAUGAUGUUUCUGUCUUUGAUUUGUGCCGCGUACAGAUUUAUUGUUGAGAUGUUAGAUUAAGGUGUUUUUCUUUGCUGCAGUAACAAUGCCAUGGACAUCUGGUCUAAGAUUAAGGGAAAGGGAACUGCAUUCAACAAUCCUAGAUCUGUUGGAGAGGUAUUCACAUUCACCUUUACUUUUCUAAGUUUGAAUAGUUUUGUGUUAGGCGAUAAUGGCUUCUGUGUAGGUUUUGAGUUGGUAGCAGUAAUGACUGGGUGUUUUAACUUCUGUAGGCCAUCAUGGCAAAUCUUCCUAAAUCCGAUAUAAUAGAGUCAUGCACGGUGGCAGGGCCUGGGUUUGUUAAUAUCGUGUUGGCAAAGGAUUGGAUGGCUAAGGUAUUGUUACAGAUCAUCUGACGUUGUUCAGUCAUUCAUUUGUGUUGAUGUGGAAACCUGUACUUCUUUAUUGUAAUUGUAACUGUGUAAAUGUUGUUUCUUCAGAGCUUACAAAAGAUGCUUGUUGAUGGUAUUGAAACAUGGGCACCACAGCUCCAGAUCAAACGGGCUGUUGUUGACUUUUCAUCACCUAAUAUUGCCAAGGAAAUGCAUGUUGGCCAUUUGCGAUCUACAAUUAUCGGGGACACACUAGCCAGGAUGCUUGAGUUUUCCAAAGUUGAAGUUCUUCGACGUAAUCAUGUUGGUGACUGGGGAACACAGGUAAAUGUAGUGUUUGAUAAGUGACAGCAUGUGUAUGGUAUUGGUAUGGAAAAUGACAGGUUUUUUGGGGAACUGAUCAUUGUAUGGCAUCCUUAUACUCAGUAAAUAAACCAUGGUCUCUUGCCUUGUGUUAUUCCCUAAAGCUCGUUUCCUUUUCAGCUGAUGAUUUUCUCUUGUAGCUGUUUCAUUAGCAUAGAUAAUCUAGACACUUCAUGAUGAACUUCAACUAGUCAGUCAGUUUUGCAAGCUGUCUAUGAUGUUGAAUGUGACUUAUGAAGUUAUGAGUACAUUACUAUUUGCUUAUAUACUUACCUGCAACCAAAUAUGCAUAUUACAUACUAUUUGCUAGUGGAAUAUACCUUUCAUUAGUGUGAUGUUUCGACCUUCUGACAUUGGAAGUACAAUAUAAAGUAGGAGGGAAAGCCAUUAGGCACAUCCUUUUUCUUUUCUCUUUUUUCUAUUUUUUUAUCUCGUCAUUGUUCCUUUAUAAAGAACUUAUAAAUAUGUUGUUCAAUAACCUUCUAUGGUUAUUGCAGUUUGGCAUGUUGAUUCAAUACCUUUUCGAAAAGUUUCCAAACGUGGAUGAUGUUAAUGAAAUGGAAAUCGGUGAUCUUCAGGUGAGUAAAGUAUUGUCUUAGCUCUUUUGUCUUGAAAUCACAUCUCUCAUUCUGCAUUUAGACUGACUAGUACUCAUUCAUAUGUAUUUAAUUGGAUAAAGUUCAUGCUACCAAGAUAAGAUUACGCCGUUCAUCCCCAAAAUGGUAUAUUUUCUUUGUUUUAUUAGUUUGGGUCGAGCCUCAAUUAAUGAACUCGAGAAGUAUUUGGAUGCAGCCUUGGUUAAGUGAUGUGUGGAAUUAUUUGUUUUAUUAGUUUGGGUCGAGCCUCAAAUAACGAACUUGAGAAAUAUUUGGAUGCAGCCUGGGUUAAAGUGACGUAUGGUAUUCUUUGGUGAUUAAGUGGGAUUAAACGCUUAAUGGAUGAAUAUUAUAUGAUGAUACUGUGCUUAUUAUGUAAUAUUGUUAUUUCCACAUUUUCCUAGCCAAGAGGAACAAGAAAAUAUACUGAAGUGAUUGGUACUGACUAUAAUUGAGUGGCAUUUUGAUAGGAAUUCUAUAAGCAGUCAAAAAAGAGAUUUGAUGAGGAUCCGGCCUUCAAGGAGAGAGCACAAGCUGCAGUUGUAUCCCUUCAGGUGAGUCAUCUAAUCUCAUUUAUACACGAGGUUGAUCUCUUUGUCCAUAAGGUUAGAAAGUUUCUGAUGCAGCUUAUUUUCAGGGUGGGACUCCCAAGUAUCGUGAGGCAUGGCUUCAAAUUUGUGAAGUCAGCCGUAGAGAGUUUCAAAUGGUCUAUGAACGCCUUGGAACUCAGUUAGAGGAAAAGGUUUGUUCCAGAUUUCUGGCUUUACAGGUUACUUUGACGUGUAGCUCUUGAAUUGGUUCUUUCUUUUUCCCUAAGAAGCAAAGUCUGCACCGGAAAUAGCGGAAGUGCCUAAUUAAAUACCUGGUUUAUCUUUUGCUUGCCUUCUCUUAUGGUUGGAUUAUAUGCACUAUGGGUUCUGCCUAGGGCAAUUAAUGAAGUUAUUUCCUUUAGGCUGUAAGUAUUAUUGUAUGAUCAGAAGAGGUUGAUGUAUUGCUGAUAUAUAUCUUGCAAGACACUGAGAUGAAAUUUUAUAUAUAUUCGGUAAAUUUGGAUUAGUGAUGAGAAUGGUUACUAAAAGUCUAUAUGGGUUGUUUGAGAGGGAAGGGUAGGGGUUGUUUGGAGUUUGAAAUAAAUUUGAUAAGAAGAUAAGCUAUAGCUGUGCAUAGGCAACGUGGUUUGGAUUAUCAGGUAACCUUGACCAGAAGUAAUUAAUAAUUGUGCAUAUGCAAUAUUUAUGAGUGCAUUUCUGGAUACUUAUAAUAUACCGGUAUACUUUAUGGCCACAAACACAACAAAUAGUGGAAUCUCGUUUGAUUAUUUAAGGUUGGAAAUACCCAAAUAUUCUGCUAUGUAAUAUACUUAGCUAUCUUGUUUGUACUGAACUCAUAUGCAUACCUUCUGUUCUGGCAGGGAGAAAGCUUUUACAACCCAUAUAUUCCUGGGGUUUUAGAGAAGUUGACUGAACAAGGACUGAUUGUGGAAAGCGAGGGUGCUCGUGUAAUCCAUCUUGAGGGUUUUAACAUCCCCCUUAUUGUUGUGAAGAGCAAUGGCAGUUAUAAUUACGCUUCCACCGAUUUGGCAGCUCUUUGGUUCGUCAAAUAUUAAAUUUAUUAAUCUUUAAAAAUUUGGAGUAUUUGUCAGAGAGCAGUUAGCCAGUCAGUUGUAUUGCAUCACUACUGUUCUGUCUGAUCUGCCUAAUCAUGCUGUCAUCCUUGCUGACAAUGCUGCUUGCAAUAUACAGGUAUCGACUUAAUGAGGAGAAAGCUGAAUGGAUCAUAUAUGUUACUGAUGUUGGCCAGCAGCAACACUUUAGUAUGUUUUUCAAGGUAUACAACACAAGCCAUAACGUGGUCUAACAGACCCUUAUUCUUCGCUGUGGUUCAAUAUACUUGAAAAGUUGAACUGCAAUUUAGUUUAUGUUCCUCCACCUUCUAAGGUAUGGGUUAUUUCAUUGUUGUUAUGUGUUUGAACAUAACUUACUUAAUGAGGAGAAAGCUGAAUGGAUCAUAUAUGUUACUGAUGUUGGCCAGCAGCAACACUUUAGUAUGUUUUUCAAGGUAUACAACACAAGCCAUAACGUGGUCUAACAGACCCUUAUUCUUCGCUGUGGUUCAAUAUACUUGAAAAGUUGAACUGCAAUUUAGUUUAUGUUCCUCCACCUUCUAAGGUAUGGGUUAUUUCAUUGUUGUUAUGUGUUUGAACAUAACUUUGGUUUUCUGUUUCAGGCGGCUACACUUGCAGGUUGGCUUCCAGCUGAUGGCUCGUACCCUAAAGUUAGCCAUGUUGGAUUUGGUCUUGUUCUUGGAGAAGAUGGCAAACGAUUCCGGACUCGCUCUUCUGAUGUGGUUCGAUUGGUUGAUUUACUUGAUGAAGCCAAGAGCCGAAGCAAAACAAGUCUUGUCGAGCGUGGUAUGACACUGAAGGACCUAGUCUAGUCUCUCUACAUCUUCAUAUUUGCAAACACAUCUCAUCUAGCAUGUAUUUGCAACCAUCUCACUCAUUCAGUUAUACCAAGAUGAAGUUGUUUUCAAUCAUUUAUCAUGAUUGCGAAGUACUUGACAUUUCAAGCUUCUGACGGUGGCAAGUAUUUCUUCAAUUAUAAUCAGGUAAGAGUGAAGACUUUACUGAAGAGGAGCUUGAGAAAAUUGCAGUGGCUGUUGGUUAUGGCGCUGUGAAGUAAGUUGUCUGAAAUUUUAUGAGUUUUAAUCCUUUCGAUGCAAUAAUAGUUAAUUUUUCGUCCUAAGCAUUAGUUGUAACUACAGCCAAAGGUUUUUGUAAACCUUAAAUAUAAAUGGAUAUCCUACUUUAUGAAGUGUUGCUUUCCUACAAGCUCUUUGUCAAACAAACAAAAACUUGGAAGGACGUAUGUAUGUAGCAGAUUUAGUCCUGCAUAUGUUAUUAAAAGAAAAAGAUAGUGAUUAGAUACUUGAAUACAACUUUGUAAAUGCCCCUUUCAAAUAAAAGUUUCUCUUCCAGAUAGUCUUGAGAAUUUUUAUUGUCAUUAAUUCUUUGCUUUGAUUUACAAAAUAUGUUGGACAUAACUAGUUUUGUGCUGAUUCUAUUAAUUUCUAGUCAGUAUACUACGAAUCGCCUGUCUAUGCAUUUAUUUUCUAUUUUCAAUGCUUGAUUUGGUGUUUAGUUCUUGUAUCUUUUCUGAUAAUGUAUUGACAGGUAUGCUGAUCUGAAGAACAACAGAUUGACCAAUUACACUUUUGAUUUCGAUCAAAUGCUAAAUGAUAAGGUGCGUUAACAUCACUGAAUUAUUGGAAGGAUUCGUACAAUUCUUCUUAAUAGUAUUUUUAUUGAGGUCUGUGUUCCAUGGAAAAUAGCUAACUUGGUGUUGAAUUAGCUAUCUUUUAAAUAAAUAUUAUACUAAAUAUAGGAGAUUUGAAUAAAUCAUAGAGUUCUUGAGGCUAGGUGAGCACCUGGUUCUGAUUGUAUACUAAAAUCCGAAAGUCUAACAACCUCUAAUUUUCUGGUCACAUUUGACUUCGUUUGAAGACUGUUAGCAAUUUAUUCUGAUUAACUGUCCAUGUAUUUUUUCACUUAUGGUAUAUUUGUUCUAAUGGUCCAUAACUAUUUGAGCAGGGAAACACUGCUGUUUACUUGCUAUACAUGCAUGCUCGGAUCUGUUCAAUAAUAAGGAAAUCUGGUAAAGACAUUGACGAAUUGAAAAAAGUAAGUCAAGCUACAUGACGUCACAUUAUCAAUGUUCUGUUGAUCUACUUUGUUAGUUCUACACAUAUAUACCAUACAUAUGAGAGGCCCAUGUACCCACAUGGCCACAUACAUGUUCCUAUACAUGUUGGUUAUUACACCACUUGUCUCUAUUUAUGUACAUGUAUUCUGAACACUUGACACAGACAAAUAUGAAACCUCAUGCUGUAAAGGUCUGAUUUCAAUCUUUUUCUAACGCAGACGGGAGAAAUUGUGCUGGGUCAUGCAGGUGAGGGUGAAUUGGCGCUUCACUUGUUAAAGUUUUCUGAGGUAUGGACAACAUAAAUGGACUCAUUGCUACCUUUAUGACCUUUAUGCUCAUCUUUGUUGGUUACUGCUGUUGGUAUUCUUGGCUCUAACUUUCACAUUUUUCGCUUUCACUUUCUAGACCGUGGAGGAGGCUUGCACUAAUCUGUUGCCAAGUGUUCUAUGCGAAUACCUCUAUAAUCUAUCAGAAAUCUUUAGCGGGAAGUUCUAUUCCAAUUGCCAGGUAUCUAUCAUCCAUGUUUAGUUGCCUAAUGGUUUUUCACGAUGAGCAUCAACUGAAGACAAUCAAAGAAUCUUAUAUAAUUUUGGUACAUUGUAAACUUGGCAGGUUAUCGGGACGCCAGAGGAAACGAGUAGACUGUUACUUUGUGAAGCAACAGGCGUUGUCAUGAGGAAAUGUUUCCAUCUUCUAGGAAUCGAAGCAGUGUACAAGAUGUGAUGUGUUCACCCAGUCGACAGUUAAAUCACCAAAUAUGUAAUAGUGUGCGAUCAAAUGCCUGCUUUAACAUAGGGAUUUUGAACUCAUGUUAUCCAUUUUCACUGUAAAACCAUAUCAAGAUGUCAAUGACUCAAUUUUGAUGAAAUGUAGCAUAGUUCUUUGGCUAUAAAUUUUGUUUUGUCUACACUUACUGGCUUAAAGUUGCUGUCUACCAUACCAUUCUAAUGGUCAUUGCGGGAACAAAUUUCACAGAAAUUGCCAGCUCUGUGGUUCACUUAUAGCCAAACACUCUUCAAGUGUCCACAUAAAUGCAAAAUACACCCUAAAACCUACUACAGCAUUUCAGAUCUGGAUUCUUCUUGAUCAAUGGUAAAUAACAAAUGCCUUCGGUUGAAGAACAAAGGUAAAGUUAGAAACUUAUAUAAAGAAACAAUGAAAUUUCACCAUGUACAAAUUAAUGCCUUGCCAUAACUAUUUGAAAAUUGUAAAUCCUCAAAUUGUUCCAGAUGAACAACUUCUUCAGGUAUACGAAAAACCCAGGUCAAAAACCGACUCCCUAAAUGCCUCUGUUUAAUAGAGAGAGAGAGAGAGAGAGAGAGAGCAUUAUUUCCUCUUGGUAUUACUACUGAUGGAACCCCUUGAAAUAGCUUUCUUUGAGAUAAUGGCUUUGGGACUAGUACUAUAAGACUUCUGACCAUUAUCCAAACCACCUCCAUAGCUCUUGCAUGGCUUCAUUUUCCUUCUAUAAGGAGCUGCCACCUUCUUUGCAAGAUCCUCCAAGCUCUUCACACCUGCCAGAGAUGUGAAAGAUUGCGACUUUCCUUGAUAAUACUUUGAUAAACCUCUCCUGCAUAAAUCAAAACCCAACAAAUUUAGAACACAUAAACAAGAAAUUACACUGCUCAUGAAUAGGAAAUGAAGAAAGAAACAUGUUUCAUAUGUUUUAGGUUAUUGUUUUACCUUAUAGGAAGAUGCAUCAUGAGCUCAGACAAUUCAUACAAAGGUCCAUUAAAAGAUGAUGAAGAAGAAGAAGAAGCAUCCUCAACCAAAUCAGACGAACACGAAGAAGACGAUUCCAUGGAGUCCAUGGACCUUGAAUCACAAAUAUCUUCAGGGUAGCAGUCUUCCUUCACAACCCAGUUAUCUUCAAAACCCUGAUAACCUUUCUCGCUUUCUUUCCUAUUCUGAUCACCAACAACCUCAGCUUCUUGAAUACCCAUCAAGAAGAUGAAGAACAAGAAGAACAAGAACAAGAAGAUGGAAGAUAUUAGUCUUGGUGUUGAACAACUGUUGGAAGCUUUGAAAAUAUAAUGGUUUCUAAUUUAAGUUGUUUCCAAAGGGAGCAUAUAUAUAUGUCUAAAGGGAAUGGGAAUAGGAUAAAAACACUUGGUGGAGUUUCCGUUUAAUAAUGAACCAAUGGAUAACACUGACUGUUCCGUUAUGCAUAUUUAAUACAAUAAAUUUCUAUAAAUCCCAGAAUUUGUCAUUAUCACUUAUCACAUCCUUAUGGUCUAAAUUUAUUUGCUUUCCCAUACAACAAGAAAUGAGGAUAAGGCCUAAAAUUUGAAGGCAUCCAUAUCUGAGUCACCGUUUCUCUCUCUCUCUCUCUCUCUCNCUNUCNCUCUCUNUCAACUCNCCUNUCNCUUCUAACUCUCUCUAACCNCCUUACGGUACUACCGACCGUUUACUACCGUCUACGGACUCGUUAACGUACCCGUACCGUUACGUACGUACUACGUACGUUACGUACGUACGUACGUACGUACUACGUACGACGUACGGUACCGUACGUACGUACCGUUACGGACGUUACGUACGGUACCGUACGUACGUACGUACGUACGUACGUACGUACCGUCGUACGUACGUACUCGGUCUAGUACCGUCGUAACCCCGUUUCCCCGUUUCCCCGUUAACCCCGUUUUUUCGGGGGCUUUUACCCGGGGUUUAACGUCCGGUUAAGCCCUUAGUACGGUAAAGUUAGGUAGUACGUUAUCCUUAGGNGUUCGUAACGUUCUUACGUAUAGUAUAGUACUAUACGUAGUACUAGUUACUUAUUACUACUCCUAACUACAACAAUAAGGUAAGAGUAACGUUACGUAAACGUUAACGUUAACGUAACGUACCACCUUACUACUUACACUACGUCUCUCUCUCUCUCUCUCUCUCUCUCUCUCUCUCUCUCUCUCUCUCUCUCUCUCUCUCUCUCCUUCCUUGCCAAACUGAGGUCACCAUCUUAGGGGAACUUUUGCCUCGUAAAGCCACGACAGAUCAGCAUAUUCUCAUGUUUUAUGGCAUCGAUAUGUAAAUUAAUAAAGAGAAAAGGGUUUCUGGGUUAAUGGAGUAUAGUCCAAAGUGAUUCUAGGAUUGUCUACAAUUUCACAUUUGUCUUUGACAUAAAGUUUUACCAAGACAUUGGCAUUGUUUCCCCGCUUGGGUUGGGAGUUUGGGACAACGCUGGCUGGCCUGCAUUGUCUUGUGUUUGUGUUGCUUCCUUCUUUGGCCUCUUUUAUCCUUGAUUACAGAAGGAUAAUCCAAAUGUGGUAUAGUGAUUUAGACCAUGAUUGAUUCACAAUAAUCGAACGGUUCAAAUUGUUUUGUGUCAAUUGUCAAGUAGUGUUCACAAGAUCAUUAACUGAUGAAUUAAGAUUUUUUUGCGAUCACAGUUGUUUAAAUUGAGUUUUAACGGAGCGGAUUCUACGCACCAUUGCACACUUGCACUAUUAAUGUACAAGUCCUCAAAUCGCCGUAUGCGAAGGUCGAAUAAAGACUAGUGACCUUAAUUCCUUCAUUUCAUGUUUACUUUGGACGGUUGAAAUGAUCUAUUACAGAUGUCAGCUUCACUUCUAUUUAUGUGGAAUAUAAAGAUAAUCACAACGUUUCACGGUGUUUCUUAUGUUUCUCGUAAAAGAAUAUAACAGUUGAAGUUUGAGGAGCAUUCACGUUUAAGGAAUUAAGGGUGUUAGAAUUUUAUAUAAAACAUAACCUCCAAUUUCAUGCCAUCAUUAUUUGGAUCAUUAGAUCCUGGCCAUCGUCACAACAAAAGCAAAGAUGGCCAUAAUCACAUUCAAAAAUCUUUGAAUACAAGCAAGAAAGCUUAAUGUAAUGAGAGAUCUUAGAUACGGUGUCCCUUGAUAUUGAGCAUUAGCAUUUAGCCCCCGUCAGCUUCUAAAAACUAGUGGCUGAAAUGUUAUCAAGGUUUGGUUUGAGUUUGAUUUAUUGAUUUAAUUAUCUUGACGAGUAAGGUUAGUGAGGAAGGAAAGGGAAUGAAGAUAAGGAGGUUGACAAAGGCACAGGUCAUGAAGAUUGGAUUGGAGUAGUGUUGUAUAUUACUGUAUUAGGUCUUGAUGGGUACUCAAACUGCCACCACAUGCUUGCUGCUGCUUCAUCUUCUCCUUCUGCUUACUGUAAAUCUUACCCUUUCAAAGAUUCAUUCUUUGUAAUCUUAUCCCAUAUCUGUAGGACUUGGACCUCUCAACGUCCAAAACCUUAGUAUAUAAAUGCCUACAGUUUAACGCCCACAGGAAACCCACCUCUGCCGGCUUGACCCGGAAGCAAAUUUGCUCCCCACCAUUUGCUCCCCACCCUCCUCCCCACCCCUUUGGAUGAAUAACAAGUGUCUUUUAAAUUUAAUUAUUUUAACAAAAAGAGUGAAAGUAACACUUGUCAUUCAUCCAAAGGGGUGGGGAGAAGGGUGGGGAGCAAAUGGUGGGGAGCAAAUUUGCUUCCGCUUGACCCCAUCACACCACCCUCUGUGUGACUGUGUCUCUCUUGUUCCUCCAACCACAUCCAUAUAACGUCGGCCAUCAUAUUCGUCCAGAAAAAGUCCAAAAAGGGUACUUAAAUAUGGAAAAUAAGAACAGCAAUCUCAUUUCUGUGAUGUCAAAAAUGACACACUAGGUAUAUAUAAGGUUUUGAACUUUUGAUACAGUCGGUGAAUGGAGAAGCUGUAACUUUGUAGAAGUAAAAAAAAACCACACAGCGGUAAAUAAAUAUUACAUUGCAGCAGUAGUAAGAAGACCUGCAUUUUGUUUCCUCAAAGAGUGUACUAAAGGAUGAUCUAUCUGGGAAAAUUUACAGGGGAUUCCAAGCUACCCACCAGAAUCUCAAGAUCAAUGUCCUUGUCUUCGAAUUUUUUGAUGAAUGGGUGACUCUGAAAGAAGAAAAUGAAUUUGCUGUCAAAUUUCAACUGAUGAAGAAAGCAAUUACUAAAAAUGUUAAAAAUAAAACACUAGCUGACUAACCAAAAGGUCCAAGGAUGAUGAUCUGUAUUGAGGAUCCUUCUGUAUGCUGCAAAUGCAAAGGGAAGUAGAAAAUGUCAGAUUGCUGUGAAUUUGGAUGUUUCAGAAGUGAAGAAUGCAUGAACAUAUGAUUACCAGGCAGACACAAAAGAACAGAACUCGGGGGAGAACUGAUCUGGUGGUGCAGUUGGUGGUGGGCUUCCAACAAUUGCCUCUAAAAGUUCAUAAAAGCUUGGCCAGCUUUGUUCAUCUUCAGAUUGCAUGUAAGGAAACCGCCCAAUAGCACACUCAAGUAUCACCAUGCCUAAACUCCAUAUGUCACUGCUGUAGUCAUAAGUACCCCCUUUAAUUCUCUCUGGCUGAAAAACAUCAAUCACAUCGUUUAGUAACUCAAUUCUGCAAAUAUGUGCCAAUCUACAGCAGAAAGACCUAGCUAGCGGUGAAAGGAAGUGAAGAAAAAAAGAUCACAUACCGACAUGUAAUUGUAAGUACCAACGAAUGUGUCCCUCUGACCCAUGGAGCUAGCAAGUGAAGCACUCACACCAAAAUCAGUAAUCUUGACCUCCCCUUUGUGGUUUACUAGCAGAUUGGAUGGUUUUAUGUCUCUAUGAAUUACAUGCCUUUCAUUGUGCAAGUAGACAAGACCUUGUAAAACCUGAUACAUAAGUAUAGAUCCUUAGCCAAGGGAAAAUGAUGAAUUUUCAAUCUGCAGCAAAUUAUUUUAGUCUUCACAUUUGAUUGAGAAGUGAUAGAUUCAUGUACCUGUUUACACACAACUGCAAGAUAUGGUUCAAGAAUUGUCUUAACUUGUCUGAUCACAUCUGCAAGAGAUCCACGAUCCAUGUAUUCUAAUACAAGAGAAAUUGCCCCAUUAUGAUAAAAGGAGUGGUGGCAAACCACCACAUGUGGACAUUGUGCUGCUUGGUUUAUUUUUAGUUCCUGCACAAUCUGUUUACGAAUUUCCUCUUGUAUGUUCAUCUGAAUAACCUGCAAGAUGUCAAACAAUGAGCACAAAUGCCUUAUCAUUGAAGAAGAACCAUAGGUAUAGGAAAUGUAAGAACCAUAGGAUGAGGGAACCAAGUAGAUUAGAAUUCUAACAACCCAUAGAGCCAUAACUAAGAAGUAUCUAUACUCCGCACCAUAUGCAACACAAGAAUUUCAUGUUUUUUGUUCUGGAAGGGUGUAUCUAGGAAAUUCUAUUAGUUGCAACUCAAAAGAGUUACCAAAAUACGAGUUGCAUAUGGUAAUACAGAGAGCUUCUUUCCCUUCCCUCUUUCACUACUGCAUUACUGUACUGUUCAGAAAAUGUAUAUAGGAUAUGAACCUUUCCCUAAAUCAAUUAGAAACUAUGAUUGCAUGCGCAUAGGCCUUAUGGUUAAGAGAACGCUCUUUCCAAUUUCCCAUGAGACACAGGUUUAUGAAACCUAUAGUUGACAAAAUUCACAAAACACAGAAAAGAGAAGCACAGGAAGGUAAGAACAUGGUUGUGUUUUCUUGAAUACUGACCUUCAAGGCAAAUAGUUUCCCAACCCAUUUAUGGCGUACAAGUUGUACUACACCACCACUUCCUUUCCCAAUAACCUUGAUAGUCUCGAGAUCUUCCAAGGAAAAUUCAACAUUGAGCUCCUUACUAUCAGAAGGCUGUUCAAAUAAACCAAAAAAGGUAAUUAAAAGACAGAUCAUAUGAGGAUGUAAACAACAUAGCAAGGACAUUUCUGUCCGUAUAAUAAAUAUAUAGAUGUCAAAGUAAGCACACACUAAGCAUUUAUUCAUGAUGCAUGGAAAAGAAAGCACAAGAAGUCGAGCCUGUGACUUAGGAUGUGAAACCAAUCCUCAGAUGUUUGUGACA